AGCCCCCUGUUGAGAAGCCACCUGUGUAUAAGCCACCGGUAGAAAAACCUCCAGUUUACAAACCACCGGUAGAGAAACCACCAGUGUACAAGCCACCAGUUGAGAAGCCCCCCGUCUACAAACCUCCUGUAGAGAAGCCUCCUGUUUACAAGCCACCAGUAGAGAAACCACCAGUGUACAAGCCACCAGUUGAAAAGCCUCCGGUCUACAAACCACCUGUAGAGAAGCCACCUGUUUACAAGCCACCUGUAGAGAAACCACCAGUGUACAAGCCACCAGUUGAGAAGCCUCCGGUCUACAAACCACCUGUAGAGAAGCCACCUGUUUAUAAGCCACCUGUAGAGAAACCACCAGUGUACAAGCCACCAGUUGAGAAGCCCCCGGUCUACAAACCCCCUGUAGAGAAGCCUCCUGUCUACAAGCCACCAGUAGAGAAACCGCCAGUGUACAAGCCACCAGUUGAGAAACCCCCGGUCUACAAACCCCCUGUUGAGAAGCCUCCUAUCUACAAGCCACCAGUAGAGAAACCACCAGUGUACAAGCCACCUGUUGAGAAGCCUCCAGUUUAUAAGCCACCAGUUGAGAAGCCACCUGUGUACAAGCCCCCAGUCGAGAAACCCCCGGUCUACAAACCUCCUGUAGAGAAGCCUCCAGUUUACAAGCCACCGGUGUACAAACCUCCAGUUUACAAGCCACCAGUAGAGAAGCCACCUGUGUACAAGCCUCCGGUCUACAAACCCCCAGUUGAGAAACCUCCAGUUUACAAGCCACCGGUUUACAAGCCUCCAGUCGAGAAGCCACCAGUUUACGGACCACCUCACCACCCAUAGUACCCUCCCGUAGUUGGCACUACUCGUUUUUAAAGCAUGCUUUUAAGUAAAUAAGAGAUAUAUAAACUUUCCAAAGCAAGGAUCAUAUAUUCUUGGAAAUCUUCAAUUCAAUCUUAUGUUUACAAAUGCUAUUGCCAAGACAAGAGUGUGAAAGAAAAUGGUGCCAUUUGUACUUCAAAUUAUGAAUAAGAACGUUAUGAUUUAGUACUUCUUAUUUUGUGUUUGUUGACUAAAUUUGACAGAGUAUACUUUACUUGUUCCCUAUCAUACCAGUAAGGUGCAUGAAAGUUCAGUCUUGAACGGUGGAAAUAAAUAAUAAUUAAUUAAUGUUUGAAUCUCGAAUUUACUAAAUUAACGAACUUGUAAUUUCAUUGGAAUAUACUUGACUCAGUGGUAGCUUUAGUUUCAACUUGGAAAAUGUCCGUGAUAUGACAAUUUUUCCAAAACAAGUUUAGGUUAAGAUUUUUAUUUUUUAUUUUUGACAUAAUAUACGUUAAGAUUCUUGUGUACUAAUAGAAACUGAAAAAUCAUUUUGGUGCUUAAAGUUUAAUGAGUUGGACAAAUUAUUCACUCAAAUAUGGAAAUGAUAAUGUAGUCUCUUCAAUUAUAGAAUGCCAUUUAAUUUAGUUACCUUUUCAAAAUUAGCAUCACAAUUCGCAAGGUUUUAUAUUUGUGUUGAUGCAUCAGUUAAGAUAAGGAUCACGAAAAUUAGGUUUUUGACUUGGUUUUGAUUAGGGGUGUUUGCGGUGCGUUUUGGUUCGGUUUUGAGCAUAAAAGUCAUCUAAACCUCAAGAUAAAAAAGCAUGCGGUUUGGUUUGAUUCAGUUGAUUUUUAUAUAGUCAUCCAAACAAAACCAAACCAAACCAAUGCGGUUUGGAUUGGUUCGGUUUGUACGGUUUAUCGCGAGAUGAAAAAAUAUUACAUUAACUCUAAUAUUGCCAACUUGUUACAAAAUAAACAUAGGACAUUUUAUUUUGUUGUUUAUAUGAUAAAAUAUUAGGUAAAACUUAUAUCAAAAUAGGUAAAAUUAAGAAGAAACAUAAGCAUGAAACAAAUUAUUGAGAAGUAAAAGAAACAAAUUCAUCACUGAAAAUGAAUUGAAAGAGAUGGAAAGGAAUUAGAAUCGAACCAGAUGGUGCAACAAUGGAAAAAUCUAAUCAAAUGAGAUUAUUCUUGAGCUAUGUAAUUGGGCUAGUACAUGUUUAAGUAAUAUUCAUUAUUCUUGCGGUUUGGUUUGGUACUUGAGAUGCAAACCGCAAACCAAACCGAACCGCGCGGUUCAGUGUAAAAGUCAUCCGAGUUCAUUCGAACCAAGUGCAGUUUUUUGCGGUUUCGGUUUGGAUUGGUUUGGUUUGCGGUUUUUCUAUUGGGUUCGUUCGGUUUUGAACACCCCUAGUUUUGAUCGAUGUUUCCUGAAGAUAUGUUUUGGUAAUUGAACUAAAUAAACUGUCUUACAUUCUUCAAUUAAUGAGAUUAAAUUUCCUUUUUACAAAUAUCAAUGAUUAAUGUCAAGGACUAAAAUGAUGAUUAGUGUCGCGCCAUUUUUCGGAGGUCAAGGCCAUUUGAUUAGCUUUUGACUCACUUUUUAUCUCACGACUGAACAAAAAAUUUUUUAAAGGGGAAAAAGUUUCAAACCACCCAUUUUGAAAAGAUUUAGGGUUCAUGGGUUGGUUAUAUUUAGGGAAGGUAUUAGCACCCUAAAUAUUCGUAGUACUCUAUGAGUACCUCUUGAUUUUAUUUAACUUUUUGUGCUUAAACUUGCUUGCUUUUGAAGAGAUGAAAAUAGAAUUGAAAGAUGAGUUGAAACGAAAAAGAAAAUUGAUUUUAAUUGAAAAGAAAAAAGAAAAUUGUUUUUUAGUUGAUUUGGAAGGACAAGGUCCUCUGCCUACGUACCCGUGAGGGAUCAAAACCUCGUAGUUCGGGGUAGAAAUUGACGUUUGAUUGGUUUUAUAUUUUUUAUUAGUUUUUGAAAAAAGGUUUGAAAUAAAAAGCCAAGUGGCAAAUGAGAAUUGAUUUGUGUUUUUUGGAUUGAAGGAAAUAGACUUGAAGUAGAAUUAAAAUUGAUUUGAGAUUUGAUUAAGAAAGAAAAUAGAAAUAGCGAUCACUUCAUUGAAAGUCAAGGUUUGUUAUAAAAAUAUUUUUUUGUGAUUUUUUGAUAUUUGGAUGUUUUUGCCGUUUUUGAAUAAUGAAUGAAAAUUAAACUAACAGAGCAAUGAAAAUAAAAGUGCGUGGGCGUGAAGAAAAGAUUUUGGUUUAUGUUAGUUCGACAAUAUAAAUAGUAUUUAAUAUAUGUUGUGUUCACUUUGGAUAUUAUCGGACAAAAUUUUGACAAUAAUAAAAAUAAUAAUAGUAAAAUAGAAUAAAAAAUAGAAAGACUAAAGUGAAUCAAAAUGAGAUAAAAAGAUAAAUAUUUAAAACGGAUUUAAAGUUAAUAAAAGAUGGAAACUAAAAUUAAAUGAAAUUUGAAAAUUGAGAGAAGAGGGUCCGACUUGGAACCAAAUAUGAGGUAUUUUAAAAUACCUUCCUAUCGAAAUUUUGUUCGAAAGGCUGAGACCGGUCGGAGUUAAAUGACACGUGUCAGUGCUGCCUUAGGUCAAAAAUUGGGGUAUGACAAUUAGCUCAAUAAUUAAUUAUUGUGAUUUCUUCAUUUUAUAUUUAUAUUUAAGAAUAAAAAAAAAAAAAUGACGAUAUCAACUUUGACACAUUACAUAUUCAAUCAAUGUUGACUUGACCAUCAAUGCUACAUAUCCGGAUGUAAGAGUAGUUCGACGAGUUUAUUUUUGUCACUUUUGUUGAUAUUUUGUUGGUUUAUGCUAUUAACUUGCAUCUAGUAAACUUGUUCAUAGCUUCAUCAUUUUCAGUUUUAGUGACAUGAUAUUUGUGUUGUAUUCAAUGUGAUUUACCGCGCGAUAUGAAUAAUAUAUAUUUUUAGUCAAAAUUAAUCAUGUCGGACCUGAGAUCUUUGGUUUGAUGGCGUUGAACGACCUUUGAGUAAGACAAUGUUAAACCAAAAUGAGUUUUAUACAAUGCCUCUGAAGUUUUGAUAAUAACAAAGUAUAAAAAGAACAAUUGAAUAUGCCAAUGUUGUUCAAGUAUGCUCGACCAUAUAUUAAAAUUCAAAGUAUUAAAUCAAGUUUUGAUUCUGAAAGAACAAGAUUAUGAACAUAUACAAGAGCAUCUGCAACUUAUGAGAAGCUGGAAAUUUGGAUCAGACUCUGAAUAAGUAAGACUGUGAAAGUCGGGAGUGUAACACCCUGAACCCCACAUACUAUUUUUAAAAGUAAUAAUUCAACAUUUAAAUAAACAUAUCAAGAUGUUACUCUUCAUUUUCAACACAUAACAAGUCUCCAUCUUAAAAUAUCAACUCACAGCGGAAAUAAGUCUCAACAACACAAAUGUCAUACAUCAUAUCUCAGAAUAAGUACAUCAUCAAAAUAAACUCAAGGUUCCUCAAACAUAAUAUGAUAACAUAAAUAAAAUCCCAACAUCCUAAUCAGAGAACCACUAGACAAGACUCCAAAAUCAAAGCGGUAAAAGAUGAGUAGGCUGCAAGCCGUCCUCGGAAACUCAUGGUAACUUUGCGUCCUCAACCUGCAAGUCUCCACCACAAGGGCGUAGGCGACCAUUUGCCAAACGUAGGGUAAGAUAUAAAUUUAACAUAGAGGAAAUAUGAACACAUAUAUAGUAUUAGGAUCGCAACAUCAUAUACAAGUAUUCAUCUUAAGCAAUACCAUAUUAACAUGCAUUCUCAUUGAUUGGUAAAAUAUACACAACAAAUCUCAAAUCAUCAUCACAAGAAUAUAAAAAAGUAAACACAUCAUUGAUUAAUCAUCCAAUGGAAUACAUAGGAUUCACACAUUAUCACUUUCAUUAAAUCACACAUUUUCCAUAAAAUACACAUAGUCAUGUAUGCAUCUUUCACAUAGAUUCACAUAGUCAAGUACUCAUCUUCUACAUAGACUCUCAUGUACGAAAUGUUCCUACUCGACUUUAUAUGCAUGUGGUACUGUUUUCGAUAUCAGAGGUAUUUUCUGAGUGAUUUCACCGUCACUUGGACUGACCAUGAAUGCAUGAACAUCUCAUCAUGACUCGACAAUGCAUAAUUCAUAUAACUCGACAAUUUACAUCAACAACAUCAUCACAUCGUAUAUUAAUUCAUCGUCGCUAUAUCAUCAUCAUCAUCAUCAUCAUCAUCAUCAUCAUUUUCAAUGUCAUUAUAUCAUCAUCAUCAUCAUCAUAUCAACAUCUAUAUAUAGUUCAAAUCAUCAUGUCAAACCAUAUCAAUAUGUAUCCACCUCGUCUCGCAAUCACAUUCACAGUCAUCAUCAUUAUAUAUUCAUAAGACAUUAUUCUACAUCAUCAAGUAUACUUCGUUAAUCAUCUAACAAGUUCACAGUCAUUUCAUGAUUCAAUUAUAAUUAAAUCACAAGUUUAUUUCUAACCAUUUCAAUUGCUAAGUUUACUUCCAUCAUAAGCUAGGUUAAUUACUCUUACACAUCAAAAUUAUACUUCUAUUAAUCAAGUUUAGAGGUUUGUGACAUAUUCACAUGCAUUGGAUACCUUAAAAUACCAAAAAUAUGAGUUUCCCACUAUAGGGAGGGUUGCACGGUAGUGCCAUCCAGGUGCACAGUCGUGCUCAUCAUGCAGGUAGGGAAAAGCUAUAAUUUUUGCGUUUUGCUCAGGAAGAACCCCUUUCAACACCAUUUUUCGAUCCAAUUCACACCAAACUAGACCCAAAUCAUAAAACUAAUGUUGUCUAAUCAAUUACACAUUAAUUUUACCUUAACUAACUUUAUUAUACUCAUUAUUAUCGUCAAUUAACAUGAACUUCAAUUGUUUUAAACUUAUCACUUCAAACCCAUUUUUAACAUGGUAAUUCAAACCCCAAACAUAGUAACAACCAAAUCAACAUCCCUUAUUCAAAAUGAACACAAAAAAAUUCAUCAAUUCACAUUAUAAACAUCAACUCAACAAUUAUCAACAAUUAUCAUGAAUUUCACCAAUUUCACAUAAAACUCAAAAACCCUAAUUCACCAUAAUCAAACAUUGAUUUUAACACAACUGUUAGGUUUGUAGUCUUGACAUGUUGGUGCGACAUCAUAGCGUGCCUUGUUCCGAUUUCUUGGAGAUUGUAUUUAAAUGUGAAAUCGCAGAAGAAAACUAAACGCAUCACAACUAAGAAAAGGUAGAAUAAAACCUUUCUACAAACAAAGCGCACAUCACUUGAAAGCAAAAUAAAUACGCAACUAAAUUUCAAAAAAGAUAUGCAUAAAUUAUCAUAGAAUAAGGCACCAAGUAACACGUUCUUACGUCUCAGAUUACCAAAUGGCUCUCCGAAAAAUAACCAGAGUAUGAUAAAAUUACAGAUUUCCCAAAACAAAAGGAACAUAAACUAAAAUACAAAGCACGAAAACAAAGAAGACACAACAACAUAACUCUUCAUCCACUAACUUUCCAUCAACCAAAAUCUUGGAGGGGUCCAGCUCGCUCACAUUAUCAUCAGGGUUAAAAUGCAGAACUUGCGCCCUAGUAUGCUCAAAGCCAUUGUCAAAAUAUAAGGCAAGAUCCCCCUUGCCAUCCUCAACGACGAAUUGAGCUUUGGCGAGAUCCCCUUACAACUAGACGACCUUCUUCUUCCAUGAAUCUCUCUCCAGCUCAACAACUUCUUUUUCAUCCUUCAUAUCUUUGGUCGUCUUCUCUGCAGUCUUCUUAUCCUCCAAGGCUUCCUUCAACCUACUUUCAAGACCCGUUGCUUUAUGCUUCCACUUCUCCACAUCUUCAUGAGCGUCUUUAUACUUUGCCUCUAAAGCACCAUGUUUCUUCUCCAUCACUUUUCCUAAUAAAAGGACCCGGAGCACUAAUAUUCUUGUAUCCAUUACUAGCUCGCCAAAUUUGCUUUUAACGCCAGCAUCAACGUCAACCUUAGACAGUGGCACUUUAUCCUCCAUGUAGCUACGAUAAACGCAUGACUUAAAAGUUGAAAACCCACUAACAUUACUAGAAUUUAAGUAAAAUCUCAUCAUCAAAUUAAACUCUCAUACCUACGAAAGUCGAAAUCUUUAUGCCAAAAAGAGUCAGCCACCUGAACAUUCAGAGAAAUGGUUCCCGCCACCCCGCUAGCAUAAUCAUCAUCCUUCCGACUGGCAACAAAUGUCCGCUUCGAGUCGCCCUUCCCAGUCCUCAUCUUCUUGCGUCUGGGCGAGUCAGUUUGCUCAGCCAGUACCCCAUUGCCUGCCGUCUCCAUGUUAUCAAUGUCCAUAUCCGAAUGUAACAUCCUAAAAUUUUAAGUCUAUAUUCAAAUGUAGUUAAAAAUAUAAAACAUAAUAGUGUAAUUAUUUUAAAAUACGCGAAGAUAAAAAUAAAGACAAAUAAAUAUGAUAUAAUUUCUUAUUAAUAAUUAAAUUUUAUUGGAUAAAAAGAAAAGGAGAAAGAAAGAAAAACAAAAAUAAAGGGAGUGCAAAUAACAAUUAUUUUUAGAAAAGAAAAAAAAAGUUAUAUACUUUCUCGAAUUUUUUUUCUGCCCUUGUUUAUGCAAAAAAAUACAAAAAUGCCCCACUUUUUCGAAAAAUUGCGUAAAUGCCCUACUUUUUCAGAAGCCCCUGGUACUACUCCACUUGGAGUUGCGGGGUACCCUAAAAAGUCACAAUUUUUUUGUCCUUAUUGUACGCCGCUACUUGGACUUGCGGGGUACUUUCCUACUUUUUUUUUUCCACUUUUUUUACUACCCCGCGAGUCUUAGCUUUUGCUUUUUUUUUUAAAAUUUUUUUUUUUUAAAUACCCCUCUACUUGGAGUAGAGUGGUAUAAUGAAGACAAAAAAAAUUCAACGUGUAAUAAUUACUCUCAAAUAAUAAAAAACUAAUUAAAAUUAUAUAACCAAUAAAAUACCAUCUACAAUGAUUAUAAAUGCCCGGCUGUCCCACACCUUCGUCUUCGACGAUCUCUUCCGCGAUUUACUUGAGGGUUAUGUUGGUCUUCGUCAUUUUUAUUUGUAGUUGAUUGUAUCUGACUACCAUAACCCAGUGACAACGACACAUCGUGUUCUCUUGUUGGCCAUCCCAUAUCCAGAAAUUGUUCAUUGGAGUUCAACGAAGUCGGAGAGAAGUGAGAUAAUAGGUUUGUUGGUGUUGGUGGGUGGUUGUAGUUUUGGUUGGUGUACAUUGGGUAUUGUGGGUUGUUGUAGGGGGGUAAUUGGUGUUGGACGGUCCAGCUUGGUUUGGGUCAUUAUAGGAGAAGUAGUUGUUGUUGGAUGUGUUAGCUUGGUUUGGUUCAUUGUAACCAUAAUUUGUCAUUGAAUUUUGUUGGUAAGUUGACUGAUAUUGGGGCUCAUAUGCAUUUCUCGGGGAGGUAUAUGGUGGUGGUUGGAUGAUAUUUUGUUGGGGGGUGUCGAGAAAUUCAUACAUUACAGAACCAUGAAUGUUUUGUGUUGUAUGUGGUUGGGAUUGAUGAUCUUGUAGUUGAGAAAAAAUGUCUUGAUCCCAAAAAUCAUCAUGAAUUGGUGUUUGGUUGUUGUGAAUUUCAGGUUCAUGUUCCGGCUCCGGCUCUUCUUGUUCGUCUGGAUCUGAAUCUGAUGGUUUUGUCUCAACUGAAAUCCUUAGACGUGGGUUGCAUGUGGUUGUCAACCACUCAAUAUACGCAUGAGUUGGGGUGAGUGAUCUUGGCCGCAUGUGAGGUAAAAUAUAACUCCGUCGGUUGUCCCAAUGUAAGCUCUCUUGUGGAAAGUGAAAACCAUUUGAUUGGUACCACAUCUUGAACCGUUUGUCCACUAUAUGGAAUUGUCGCAUGUCUCGUGGGGCCCCUGGUAUUUCCUGUGGCAAACCAAAUUCUAGCUUGACCCUAUCAGUUGGAUGCCAUUCAACUCUGUCAAAACAUAUAAGGUGAGUUGUUGCAGUCCACUCCCAAUAGUCUUCAGGAAAAUUGUGUGGAACAUUCUUGUAUGGUCUCCAUUUAAACUGGCAGAAGAGAGAAGUUGUAGUGUAAGGUUAACAAUUUUGAUAUAUAUAUAUAUAUAUAUAUAUAUAUAUAUAUAUAGUUCGAUAGGUGAAAUAUAUAUUCAUUAUUAAUUAAAUAACUCCUAAUUAAAUACUUGUAAAAAAACUCAUGAUUAAAUAAAUAAUUAAUUUAUAAUCGCGACAUUUUUUUAGUCCUAUAUUAAUUGCAUGUCCUACUUUUUUUUUUCUUACAAAAGAAAGUUAACAUAUAGCUUUUUAUUUCUUUACGACCAUGAAAGUGUUAAUAUGUAGCUUAAAUAACAAAAUAUCUUAAUUAUAUUUAAUUAGACCAUGAAAGUUAGUUUACCCUUGAAAUUACAUAAAAAAAAAAUUACCGUUCAAUAUAUAUAUAUAUAUAUAUAUAUAUAUAUAUAUAUAUAUAAACUCAUACAUUCAAAAAUCAAUUAUAAUAUUACUUGAUGUUCCAGUAUGUCAUCAAACUUUUUUCUGUAAGAUAUAGUGUCAUGGCUUGGAUUCUCGUAGUAUCUUGAACCUGCACCUGUCCAUCUAACAAAUGAUAUAAACAAAUUAGUAGCUAAUUUAUCAAAUAAUAAUAUUAAUAAGAAGCGAGAAUAUGCGAGGAAAUUAACAAAAAAAAUAAAUAAAUUAAUUGACCACGAUUACUUUAAUCCUAGCGGCUACUGGAGUGGGUUAUCAUUUCUCGGAGCGAUAUAACUCAACCGACAAUAUCCCCAAACUUGUAACAGAAAAUGACAUCCAGAUAGUGCUUUUAUAUUUGGGUGUGAUGCCUCACACAAGCCACGAUAAAGGUAAGCCAAAACUGCCGAUCCCCAACUAUAAUUUCUUGUUUCAUUAAAAUCCAUUAACAAAUACAACCAAGAGUUGUGCACAAAUAAUCCAGUUGUAUUAGGAAACAAGAACCCUCCAAAGAGGUAUAGUAGGUACCUCCUGUGUGUUGUAUUUUUACCUCCGGAGGAGAUUGUUCACUGAAGUUAUUAUCGACCAGAUUAUCCUUUAAUCACGACAACGAGAGAGUAAAACCAUCAGUUUUGUGUGCUGGAGGAGUUAUUCCCAACAAUUGAGCACAAUUAUUCCACAGAAGAUUUGGAGGAGCCGUAACAAUUGGUCCUCCAAAAGGUAAGCCGAGUAAAAUAUAUACGUCUUCAAACGUGAUUGUACAUUCACCCGUUCGAAAAUGAAAAGUAUGUGUUUCGGACCGCUAUCUUUCUACAAGAGUGGUUACGAUGUGCCUAUCAAUUUUGUAACGCCCUAUUUGAGAAACCUCAAAAAAUCCAGCUUGACGUAGAUAAUCUUCAAUAUAAGGACUUGGUAUGAUGUUUUGCCGUGUACGAGUGGUUAGAGGUGCACCCUCUGCAUCCUAACAAAAAAUAAUAAAGGAAUAAAAUUAAAACAUAAUCAAAAUAUAAAUUUAAAAAAACGUGAACAUAUUUAAAUUAAUAUUAAAAAAUAAAAAUGACAUUAACAAAUUAAUAUCUAUAUAUACCCAUCUUCUUAUAUGUUCUUCCAUGGAUCUAUGAUCAUUUUCCAACCACAAGUAUGCCAUUGCUUUAUAGAAUUUGAUUGAAAUAAUCUCUUAUGUGAGUGAGUAAGGAAAGGAUUGAGAUAAGUAGAAUAUGUGUAAAGAGUAAAAAUAUAGUUGUGGUAUUUAUAAUGUAAAACUAUGUGUAAAUGGUAGAAGUAGUAGUGUGGUAUUUUAAUCAAUGAAGUGAAGAGUUCCUGUGUUACUACUGCAACGCAUGCAAGCCAACAGUGUUCAAAUAAACAUAGAAAUGACAAUUGCAUCAAUAGCAGAAGCAUGGUGUUCAACAAUAUUGAAUUAAUUCGUAAACUUUGCCUCAUGAGAUGACCAUUGCAUGUAAAAAAUACAUUAAUUUCUUGCAAGAAAUUUUUGACUGAAAUGACCAAUGCAUGUUUUGAUCACGUGAAGCAUGCUAGCAAACAAAUGGCCGACAAGCUGCCUCUGAAUAACCAAUAGGAACGGCGCGUGCAAAUACUACCCCGCCACUCUGGGUUGCGUGGUACCCCCAGCUGGCGCAUGCUUUACAUACCCCGCCACUCCAGCUUGCGUGGUACCCCCCAGCUGGCGCGUGCUUUACCUACCCCGCUACUCUAGCUUGCGUGGUACCCUCUAGCCCGCUAGUCCAAACUGCGUUGUACCUUUUUUAAUUUUCCCGCUCGAAGGGCAGAUUAAAUUACAUGUUAGUAUAAAUAAAAGUGGUCUGCAUGAUAUCAUUGUAUCAAACCAUUCUACUUCAUACUCUUACUCAUUUCUUAAGAUCAAACCAAUUCAAUGGCACCAAAUAUAAACGUUUUUGUGUACUAUAAUGGAGAAGUUAAACAAAAUGAAUCCGGUAUUUUUUUUCAAAGUCAGUAUACCAAAGGUUUUAAAGUCAGCAUGGCUAGUACUUACUUGCAUCUCAAAAGAAGAAUUGCGGAAAAAGUAUGUCUCGAAGAUAAUAUGGUUGUGUCUGAAAUUAUGUGUCGGAAUCCUAUGUUUGUUGGAACUACCACAAUUCAUUACCAGGCGUUAAGAAUAACUGAUAACGACGAUGUCGAGUUUAUGUUUAACGUACAUAAAAGUCACAGUUCUUUGUCCUAUAUAGAGCUUUAUGUUACGUUUGAGAUGAAGAAUCCAACAUCUAAUUUUGAGUUAAAUUACCCAUCGAGUUCUAGUCAACACCAAAGUCUACCACAACACUACAAUCCGUCAUCGUCGCAAGAACACUACAACCCAUCAUCGUCCCAACCGCACUAUAACCCGUCUCCCAUUUAUGAUGCAUCCUUAUCGCAACCUUUUCAGUCAAAGUGGUCACAAAAUGUGUACGAACCAUCACAAAUAAUAACUCAACCUCAUCCCUCUCAAACACCAUCUCGUUCAACACAACCCAAAACCUUAAACGAUGAAAUCAAUAUAUUCACCUCCCAAUUUCAAGACCAACCAAAUGAUGAAGUUCAAGAUGAUGAAGACGAUGAUGAUGAAGAACUCCUUGCCGCACAAAACGGUGACGAGAACGAAGAAGACGAAGACGACGAUCUGCCACUACUACCAAUUUUACCAAUCAGAGCUUCUUACAACCCACCAAGGUCCAUGCGCAACGUCAAUGAUGACCACUCAACUGAACUUUAUCAUUCAAUGGCUCUUCCGGUCGAUCAAGGUAUUGCCCUAGGGAUGCAAUUUCAUAACAAGAAUGAUUGCAUUCUCGCAAUUAAAUUUUAUCACAUGAAAAAAUCAACGGAUUAUAUUGUGAAAAAAUCAGAUCCUGAAAGGUAUGUCAUCAAAUGUAAAGAUACAAAAUGUGGUUUCAAAUUGCGGGCCUCGUGGAGGAAAAAAACUGAUAAAUGGGAGAUUGGGAAAAUGAAUGAUCAUACAUGUGUCUCAACAGAAAUGACGCAAGAUCAUCAUAAACUUAGUUACAAUGUGAUAUGUGAAAGUGUUAAAUCACUACUACAUAUGGAUACUUCAAUUACAGUGAAGGUUAUAAUUGCACACAUCCGAGAGAAGUUUAAUUACACAGUUUCAUACAGAAAGGCAUGGAGAGCACGGAAUAAGGCGAUUAAAUCAAUUUAUAGUAAUUGGGAGGAGUCUUAUGAAGAACUACCACAAUGGUUGAUGGUCAUGGAAAAAGAUUUGCCAGGAACAAUAAUUGAUUUUCAAACGGACCCAUCAACAGAAGUGGCAAAUGAGACCGUCUUCAAGCGUCUUUUUUGGGCCUUUCGUCCGUGCAUCUCAGGUUUCGAAUUCUGCAAACCAAUUGUCCAAAUUGACGCAACUUGGUUGUAUGGUAAAUACAAGGGAACAUUGUUGUUAGCUGUUGCGCAAGAUGGGAACAACAAGAUAUUUCCCAUAGCUUUUGCAAUCGUGGAAGGCGAGACCAAGGAGGCAUGGAGUUUCUUUUUGAAAAAUUUAAGGCAGCAUGUCACCCCACAAGAGAACAUAUGCCUCAUUUCUGAUAGACAUGUGUCGAUAAAGAGCGCGUAUGAUGAUCCACAGAAUGGAUGGCACGAUGCUCCGACAAGCCAUGUUUAUUGUGUCCGACACAUUGCACAAAACUUUAUGAGAUCAUUCAAGGAUGGAGAACUAAAGAAGAAAGUUGAAUGCAUGGGUAAAAAUCAUAUCUCUUUCCACGUAAAUUCGACAUUUUAUUUGUUUAAAAUGACACAUCUAACUUUUUUCAAAACAAUGCAGGUUACGCCAUGAACAUCCCUACAUUCGAAUACUACCGUUCUGAAAUUGCUGUUGCAGACCGAAAGGCUUUAGCAUGGGUCGACAAUAUUCCCAAACAAAAGUGGACUCAAUCACAUGAUGAUGGUCGACGAUGGGGCCAUAUGACAAGUAACUUGGUAGAGUCACAAAACAACGUGUAUAAGGGUAUUCGAGGACUUCCGAUCACAGCUAUCGUGAAAGCAUCAUAUUACAGGUUGGCGGCCUUGUUUGCUAAAAGAGGACAUGAGGCAGCGGCAAGGGUAAAUUCUGGUGAGCCAUUCUCAGAAAACAGCAUGAAAUAUCUCAGGAAUGAGGUGAUUAAAUCCAACAGUCAUCAUGUCACACAGUUUGACCGGGAUCGGUAUACCUUUUCCGUCCGUGAAACCAUCGACCAUAAAGAAGGAUUGCCAAAGGGAGAAUACAAGGUGGACCUGCAAAAUAAAUGGUGUGACUGUGGACGAUUCAGAGCGUUACACCUACCAUGCUCACAUGUCAUUGCCGCAUGUUCUAGCUUUUCUCACGACUACAAGACUUUUGUCGAUAACAAAUUCACGAAUGAGUGUGUAUACGCCGUAUACAACAUCCACUUCGACGUGGUUCACCACCAGACAUAUUGGCCUAAUUAUGAAGGACUGAAGGUGGUUCCCAACAAGUCCAUGUGUAGGGUAAAGAAAGGUCGUCCACCAAUUACUCGCAUUAGGACCGAGAUGGACGAUGUGGAAACUGAGAGAAGAUGCGGCGUUUGUAGGAUGCCUGGUCAUUCCCGCAAAGAUUGCAUUAAUAUUAGACACCAGUAAAAAUCUAGUCUUUAUUUCGUUUGUAGGAUGUAUGGUCAUUUCCACAAAUAAUUGUAGAUUUUAUGGUAUUUUAUUGGUUAUAUAAUUUUAAUUAGUUUUUUAUUAUUUGAGAGUAAUUAUUACACGUUGAAUUUUUAUUUUUUUUUGUCUUCAUUAUACCACUAUACUCCAAGUAUUUAAAUUUUUUUUUAAAAAAAGCAAAAGCUAAAACGCAAGUCCAACUUGCGGGGUAGUAAAAAAAGUGGAAAAAAAAAAGGAAAGUACCCCGCAAGUCCAAGUAACGGGGUACAAUAAGGACAAAAAAUUUGUGACUUUUUAGGGUACCCCACAACUCCAAGUGGAGUGGUACCAGGGGCUUAUGAAAAAGUAGGGCAUUUGCGCAAUUUUUCGAAAAAGUGGGGCAUUUUUUUAUUAUCUUUGCAUAAACAAAGGCAGAAAAAAAAAAUUCUACUUUCUCCCCACGUUUUCUCAAAAUUUGUUUCUAAAAUAAUAAUAAAAAAAGAAAUAGUUAUUUCAGAAAGAGAAACCGUGUGAUAUUUUUUAAUUAGUGUACACCUACACUUCUCAUGUGCCUAUAAAUAAGAUGCUUAGUUGAACAUAAACUCACACUACAAAACUCUCCUCUCUCUAAAAAAUCAGGUUAGUUCUCUCUCUCUCUCUCUCUCUCUCUCCUUUUCUGAACUUUCUCUAUUCAAUCUAUAGUCAUUCUUUAUUCUUUUGAAAGAGACAAGAUUUACUACUAAAAUAACCUCAGAUUUGGUCCCCACAACCCUUCUUUUGGGAAGAACAACAACAUAGUAUACCCUUCUUUUGGGAAGAACAACAACAUAGUAUUAGAAUGUUCUUUUAUCAGAUGAGAAAGUGACAGUAGUUUAGUUCUUUUCAACCUAAUCAAACCAUGAAAAUAGUUUAGCUCUUUUCAACCAUUCUUUUUCAACAGAAACAUCAUUCAAUAAAAUAAAAUAAAGAGAUCUCAGAUCUGUUUUAGACUUUUAGUAGAAAAAAUUACACGAUUUAAUUAUUGUAUUUUUUAUACUGAUACAAACUAUGAAGAUUGAAACAAAGUUCAUAAGAAAGUUGAGAUCUUGUUUAAUUCAUAUUUUUAGUUUAAAGAAAAAUAAAGAAAUGAACAUUGUUUUAAGAAUGACGUAAUGACUAUUAAAUGGCUUUUAAACAUUCUGACUAUAUAAAAAGGUAGUAACAUAAGUUUCAUUUGAAAUAAAAUAAAAUCAAGCUAUUAUUAAAAUAUAUCUAAUAUAAUCUGAAGAAAAAAAAAGGACGUGAUACAGAGAAACAAAGGAAUUAGAAAACUUUAACUCGUUAUCUCUAUUAUUAUGACCUUGAUAAUGACUAUAGUCUAAUAGAUAGUUUAUUUUGGGUGAGUAUUCUAGGUGAUAUUGGAGCUGCUUUCGACGGAAACAAUAUUGCAACCACUUGCGAAGAAUCCGAAGGUAAGGGGAAUUACUACUAAUAAAUUUUAAAGAUUUUGCAUAAGUUAUGUGCUUAAGUGAUUAUAUGUGAGUAAAUAACUCUACUUGUGAGAGUUAAUUUCUCGAUGAUGUGGUAAUUUCUAGCGAUCAAGUACAUGUCAAAGGACAUCGACUUAUAUGUGUUUUAGUUAAUAUAAUUAGGAGUUUUUGAAAAUAUAAUACAUAAGUAGAAGAAAAAGUUUUGUAAAUGAUGAAUUGAUUAGAUAGUUAUAUUAUGUUUAUUUGGUAUUACUCUUGUGUAAGUGAAUGAGCAUAUGAAUUUCAAUAAGUGUUAACUGAUUUCGAUGAGUGAAAUUAGUUGGAAAUAUAUGAUUUAAAGUGUCAAUUAUGAUUCGACGCGAUAAUUUAUAAUGUUAAUCAUGAUUAAAAACUUCUCUAUAAAAAGAAAUGAUCUAAGAGAGAUAGUUGUAUCCCACCUCAUUAAUUUUAUGGUAUCAACUCAUAGGUAUGUUGUAAAGGAAAGAAACUUAAGAAUGCCAAACUAUGAUCACUAACUUAGUACGUAGACAUAGUAUAUAUAGUUAUAUUGUACGUGUAGGAAAUUCUUUAAAACAAAUGUAUAUGUGCUUUUUAACUAGGCAACAUGAAUUAUUCUUUGUUAAAAUCUCAUGAAUAAAAAGAACAUGUACUAGUUUAAUUGAAUUACCUAAGUUCUUACUUACUGCUGAAAUUUCUAUGCUUAUAAAUAAAUGAAAAAGAACAUAUGCUGGUCAUUAAUUGUUCAGUUAUUAUGUACUGGCUUGAUUUACUUGCUGGAAUUUCUAUGCUUAUACAUAAAUGAAGAGGGACAUAUGCUGGUUAUUAUUUGUUGAGUUAUUAUAUACUGGUUUGAUUUACAUCACUGUACUAAUUGAAUAAAAUUCUGAUGUGGCUAAUCAAUUUUAUAAACAUAAAUGGUUAAUUGUUUGACAUUGUUGAGUUGAAUAUGAGUGUUUUGUCUUGUCUAGAAAGUAGGGACAAUUAAGGAGCUAUAACAGGUCCCUAUACACUCAGGUGUAGAUGAGAAUGAGGAUAGUUAUGGUUUGGUUACUUUGAGGAUCUAUCGAGGGCACUUGUGUUUCGAACGCCUAUCAAUAGUUGGGGAUUGCUUCCCGGCUGAAAGUACUCGUACUACCAGACACGGUGAGCCUGAAAAAACUAGACUAUCUAUGAUAAGGUAGUGCGAUCGGACUAGAAUGAUUAGAGUUUAAGCAUAUCUUGCUCAAAAUACUAAUAAUCAUGAUAUAGUUGCCGAAACGGCCUUAUGCUCAUUAGAGUGGAACCUCCAUGGAGUAGUGAAUUAUGAGAAGAAAAUAAACUAGAGUCAAGAAAAAAAAAGUCAAAAGAGUUCAUGCAUGUGUCAUGUUGAAUGUCAAACUAUUAAUUCAAAUUGGACCUCUUAAAAGAUAGUUUUUUUUUUUUUUUUUUUAUAAUAUGCUUUGUGAUUGUUGUUGGACAGUGAAUGAAAAGAAAAUAUUAUAUCUAUGUAAAUAUCAUUUUACCUUGCUGUAUAUAUAUUAUUUUCUUUUUCCUUAUGUAAUAAAUCACGUGGAAAACUUGUGUACGAGUAAUUCACCCUUCUUUGUUUGUUUUUGUAUCUUGUUGUUUUUUUUGGGUAUGUUCGGACGUUUUUAUAGAUGAUGCCAGAAAGACAUUUAGCUCACUCGGGAACCCGCAUGAUCGAGUUCCUUGAGGUAUUUUCUUUUGCAACACUUAUUAAAGAAGAAAGUAAUAAUAAAUCAAAACACUCACACAAAGACGCCUCAAGACUAUUGGAAUCACCCUAUCGUAUCAAAAGCUCAUGAAUAUCCAUAAGUAAAAACUUCUCCAAAAAGAACACCAUACCCUACUCAUAGGGUGCCAUCUUAUUAAAAUCAUACCCCAUCACUGCAAUCGGAGCAAUGAUCCAACAUAAAGGAAACUUUGGUUUUCCUUCCACCAUCACCAACGAAGUUGAGCCCUCAGGCUCUCCUUGCACCCUAACAAACGAAUCACACCAAUCCUUCUUAAAGUUAGAAGCAUAAGGAGGGAAAAGUUUUUUACUAGGAUAGGCACUAAUUGAAACCCACAUUCCCUUGUUUACAUCUUUCGUCCUAUAAAAAUGGAAGAAGACGCCAACAGAAGGCUCCAAACUCAUCCUUACAAAGUAGUUUGAAUCCACGAAUAAACGCCUAGCUAUUAGGACGUAUUUGCGAAGGCGCCACAUUCAGAAACUUUAGCACAUCCAUCUCAAAAUCCGUAAAGGGUCGUCACCCCAAACUCUUCCAACACCGUCAUAUACAUAAGAAAGGAAUCAUCCCUGACACCCUCCAAACGCUGAUCGCACACUCUCUCGCCUACAUCACAGGGCGACACUGUCACAUCUUUCUCGUUCUCAGUAGCAGAAGUAUCCAUCUUGUUUCAGAAUAAAUUGAUAUCCGAAGGCGACAUAUAUGAAAACACCGCUCGAAGAACUUCUUCAGCUAAAUGAUUCAUCUCCAACUCAUAAGAAUACGUCAAACACAUAAUCUCUUUUUGAGUAGACGGAAGAGGCAUAUAAUGACAAAUCUCUUGACAAGUUUUCCCCCUACGACAAAUCACUAUCACUACCAUUAGAGCUAUCGCUACUAGUGUUGCUAUCAUUGGACAAUUCCCCUAAAACCCUACGAUAAAAAAGCCCUAAUUCGUAAGCUUCCCAAUCAAUCAAGUCAUUAGGAUGUGUUGCAUGUCUUAAAGAAUCUCUCCUCAGUUGGUCUCUCUCAUCAAAAUUCGUAGGAGAGAAGGCGAAAAAUGAGAGAAGGAAAAUGGAAGAGUACUUGAGAAGAUUGAAAACGUGAGCUUAGAAAUCCAGACAAUCAGCUGGCAAGUGCGCGAAUACGGAGAACUAAAAGGCGAAAAAUGCGGAAGUGAAAUGAGGAAAGGAAGGAAAUGAAGGGUCAAAGAGUUUUAGAGGACAACAACAAUUAAAACCCCCUCAAAAAACACGCUCAUCCUUGGCACGAUUGGAGACACGUGUCAAGAUACACCCAGAUUCGAACACGUCACUAUCAUCGAAAGGUCACACAUUUUGGACCAUACAAUCAUGUUAAAAAUGAAAGAUCUCGUCGAUAUAGAAUUUCAAAAAACUCGUUGCCAACUCCUCAAACAGGAAACUUACUCGCCGUGCUGUUACAAAUCACUUCGCCUUGUCCCAAGACUCGUGGUUGGGGGCUGUGAACAAACAUCAGGCAUAAAACGCAUGACUCGACUAGCACACACCCUAGGGGGCUCUAGGAUAAAGCAUAAUCACCCAAGGGGGACUCUGUAAGCUCCAACAACAACAUCCAAAGACAUACACAAAAAAUACUGAUAAACGUAAAAUAAAUUCCAAAUGCUAAUUAAUCAUUUCGCCUUGUCCCAAGACUCGUGCUUAGGAGGCUUUGGACCGUCAAUAUCUUCUUAAGGACCUAGAAGUCCUCCCAAAGGGCAUUUAGACCCUCCUAGAUGCCUAACACCCUUCAAAAGGGCUCUAAGGCCCAACACGCGCCCUUCCUAGGGAGCCGCCUCUACCAGCUUCUAAAACCUCCAAAGCUCGGCCUAAAUACCUAAUACGAUUACAAACCCUAAUACCUCAUUACGUAUAGCUUAAGAACCAUAAAUCAGGCCAAUAGAGGGCUAUAAAUACAACCUUUGAGAGCCUUCUGAAGGCAUGACCAAUACAUUACAAACCCUAAUACGAUUAUUGUACUUUUGCAAGUACAAUGAGGAAGGCGAUAUUGACAGGGAAAGUUUCCACCUAAUUUGGGCUAAAAACAUGGACUUUUGGGGGUAAAAAAGUCACAAAAAGUGACUUUUUUCGCAAGGAGCAGGGCGCCUAGCGCAUAAUGGCAUGCACCUAGCUCAUGUUCCUGCUAGGCUGAGGCGCCUAGUGCCCCUUUCAUGCGCCAGACGCUUCAGUUGUUUAGCUUAGGGGCACCUAUUGUGCACCUGGGUGCAUAAGUGCCUUUUCAGUGCCUUUUCAGUGCUGUUUUUCUUGUUUUCUUUGCCUUUUGAGGUGUUUUCUUCAAUGUAAGAUGUCUUGGAACUUGAGAACAAAAUUCCUUCCUUUGUAAAGACUUCUGAGGCAUCUUGAAUCUUCAUUAUUCAUCUUCCCAAGGUCCACAUAAAUCUUCAAAUGUCUUGCAUUGUCUGAUUUGCUUGAUUUCUUCGUGAAUUACUUCAACAACACCCUAAAAUUGCUAUUUUUCAGGAAGAAUAGAAUUACAAACUCAAUAUAAAAUACAUUACAAAUGUACCGAAAUCAUAGGCAAUUGAUCAAAUACUCUUCUUCUUUGCUGGUAAAACCUACUGAAAUUGACUGAAAAAUGUAACAGCCCUAUUUUCGUUAGAUUUAUUUUAAUUGUUUUAAUAUGUGUUUAUUUAUGCUUAUGUGUGAUUAUUAUCAUUGGGUGCAUUUUUAUGGGUUUUCGUGUUGGAAGGAUAAUUUAGUAAUUUCAUGUAAGGAUUAUUUUUAGUGUUUCAAGUGAGAACCAUUAUUUACUAAGUUACUAGUGUGGUAAUUAGUUGUGAGCCGGUAAGUGAUCGUUGUUAUUAUUUUACCGUUAAGGGAGUAGAAACAUUUUAGAAUUAGUGAAUUAGUGGGUUAAGCCCACUAAGGCAUUAGGGUUAAACCCAAUUGAGAAGAGCCUAUAUAAGUUCUAGAUUUUAGAGAAAAAUAGGUUUCCACUUCAUUUCAUAAGAAUUUUGAGAGAGGUAGAGAUAGAAAGUUCAAGAGAAGAGGAAAAUGGUUAGAAGGGAGAAAAGCUUGAAGACUCAAGAGGUGAUAGAGAUUCUAGGACCUAAAUUGAAGCUUUUGCUAGGAUUUUUGCUAAUUGAGGUAAGGGGGUUAGAUUUCAAUCAUAAUAACUUAGUUGUAGCUUUUACCCUAAUUUCAUGUAUAAAUGCUUAUUUGUAUAAAGUGAUUAUUAUGAAAUUAAUUGAUGAAAUUCGUGGUUAUGCUUUGAUGUGAUGUUUGGGUAUGUGAAAUUGAUGUUAAUUAAGUUGUUGAUGAAGAAUUUACAUGCUCAAGUUAUGUAUAUAUGUAUACUUGUGUUUUUGCUCAAAAUUGAUGAAGUAUAAUGUUAUUGUUGGUGAAUUGUUGAUGAAUUCACUUCUGAUUGUUGUUGUUGUGAUUGUGAGUAGUUGUUGUUGAUGAUUGAAACCUUGGGUAAUCUUAACCAUAGAGCUUGAAGUGAGUUUCUAUUGUUCUUGAAGUUUUCAUGAAAAAUAGGUCAAAUGGUAAUUUUGUUGAAAUUAUGUUGGAUUCAAGUUUUUAUAUGGAUUUGAGUGUCUUUUCAUGUUUAGACAAACUUUGGGAUCAAAUUUGGGUAUUGGGUCAAAAUUGGGAUUUUGGGGUGAAAAAUGAGUUUUUUUUUGUAGUAGAACUCCAGAAGCCUGUCACAACUCGCCAUGGCGAGCGGGAGGCGAGCAGGAGGUGCUUCCUGUGUGUUAACUCCCCAUGGCGAGUGAUUCACUCACAGGGCGAGCUGCACAGUGACAUCAUUCCCUGUUUCGCAAUCUUGCGUCUUUUUCACAUAUUUUUGUUUUGAAUUGGUCUUUGGUAUAAAUAUGAAAGUUUUAGAUAAUUGUGUUAGCUUUCCAGUGGCGUUGGUUUGACUUGAAAAUGAUUUUUGGUUUUUGAGUUAUGAUGAAAAUACUCCAAGGAGGUCUUAGUGAAAUUUUAUGAAAAUUCCGCAUAACUAUUUCUAAGUCAACCCAAAACUUAUGGAUUGUUUCCAAACUUCAAAACUUGUGUACUAUGAGUUAAAUUAAUGUGUUUAAGAGUAUUUAAGCUACGUUGUGGUGAAUUUAACUUGGUUUUGUUUUGAAAGUGAAUUGGUUUUACAUUAUGAGUAAAGCGAUACGAACUUUGCAAAACUUUGAAUUUAAGUGAGUUGGCCUAUGGGACCUUGAUGUAUACACUAUUGCACUCAUAUGUGAUUGGUGUAUAUACUUAGUUGAGGUUUCCAAAUGUGUUUACCUUGUUUUGUCGGAUAACUUGAAAAUUGGUAAAAUGAUACGAACUUGUCGUAACCUGUGAUUUUGAUGAUUUUGUCGUAGUAGGCCGGUGAAACGCACAUGUAUAUUCAACUACACUCAUAUGUGAUCUAAGUGUAUACAUAGUCGAGGCCCUAGAGUUUAUUUACUUGGUGUUAGUUCAUUUGUCUCAAUUAUUUUAAAGUUGUAAAAUGAGAGUUGAACUUUGUCAAAAAUGGUUCUUUAAAGCCAAUUACCUUAUAAAUCUUUUGUAGAUAACUUUAUAUGACUAAAUGAAGAUAUGUGAAUGAAUUUUUAAUUGUUGAAUAUGAUAUUAUCAUAAGGUGUUGCAUUUUCUCUUUACUUGGAAUAUGAUAAGUAUUUGGAAUGGUGGAACUAUACUAUAUGGUUGAUGUUGAUUAAUAUUUAUAUAUCAAUUGAUGUUGAUGAUUACUGAUAAUUAUGAUGAAAAUGUGAUGAUGACUCUUAAUUGGAUUAUGACUUUAUUGUUGUGUGGACGUAAAUAUUUGAUAAUGCAAUUGUUGUUGAUGUUAUCCUUUAUAUUGUUGUUGAAUAUUUAUGAGGUGAUUUUGCAUUGUCAAGUCUUUCCUUGUAUGUCCAUGCAUCAUAGUCAUGUUGAGUCUUGAUGUUGUAAAGGAGGGUUACUCUUUUACUUUGGUGAUAAUGUAAGACGGGUGUGAAAUUUUACAUAUGAUGUUUUUGUUGCAUCAUGUGUGACGACCUUGAGGUGAUUUGGUACCACAUGCAUAUAUGUGUCGGGAUUAGGCACAUAUCAUAUUGGCGUGAGUCUUAAUUGAUGUAUUUGAAUGAUGAUUGAUGAUGAUAAGUGUGUUUGAUGAAUACAUACUUGUGAUAUUUAGAAUUGUUGCAUGAAUGUGUAUAUGGAAGUUAAUUGCUCAUGAUUAAUUAAUUGAUACUUGAUUUGAUUCAUUUAUGUCUAACUAUUUAUGUGGAUUAUGAUUGUUGUAAAGCUUACCCCUAGUGGUUUUGACCACCUACCUGUCUAUAUGGAUGGGUAGACGAAGUGCAAGAUUAGUCGCUUUGGUGAGUUGCUUGGUGAUUGCUUAGAUAGAGGGAGUUAUCUCCGUUAUCGUUUCCUUAGAGUCUUAGGAUAGGCUCUGAUCUAGGAUGUAUGUCUUAUGAUUAUUCUAGAUUGUUUAUUUUGGAUUUAUUUGUGUUGUGGAGAUUUACCCAAUUGUCGGAAUUUGAAGAAUUUUUAUGUUGAUGUAUUUUGACCUCAUGGCAUGUAUACUUUUGAAGUGUAUGGUUUAUAUCCGCUGCAACGGUAUAGAAUUUUUAUAUAUGCUUGUUAUUUGAACAUUGUUGAUGAUGUGGCGUCUAUUUCUUGGAUAUUUAUAUUAUUCGCGUGUUUUAUUGCUUUAAUAGAAAUAGGGCGCUACAAAAAACAUGCUAAAAAUAACGUAAGAUGUCCUGUCAUCAUACAACGAUUGAGAAAAAGAUAAAGAUUGUCUAAUACCCAAGACUUCUUACAUAACUAUUUCAUCAAAGCAGAAUAGUUCAAAAACUGGAAGGUGUGGGUUUUCAUGACCUAGGAAUACAGGUAGCUCAAGUGAUGACAACAUAAUUUAUGGGAAAUAUGAGAAUCAUCAAGUCUGUGGUAAUGUCAAAUGGAUUCUCAAUCAGAAAAGAAUGCAGAACCUUUAUCCCAGACUUUCCCUCGAUCAUCCAAGAACCAAAUACCAAAGAUCUAGCAGACCUAGUGUCACAAGCUUCUGAAGAUCUAAUCUGACAUGGACCAUGCUCCUAGGGCAUGGACCAUGCACCUAGGGUAGGGUGCGUUUCACAGUCACAUGCGCCUAGGGCAUGGAGUGUGCUCCCUGAGAACUAAAAAAGUGUGGGGCAAAAUUGAUUUUUUUUCGACUUUUGUGUUGUUAUUUUAUGUUGUGAUUUUCUCAGAUUGGAGUGGAGGUAGGAUGUGAGAGUUCAACAGAUCACCAUUUGUAUGACUGAACAGACUAUUCAGAAAAUCUGAAUCAGUGUUUUGAUAAAUGGUUUAGCUAGAGGGUAAUGAUAUAGGUGGCGAAGGAAUAAUGAUGGAUGGUACUGAAGAAAUGUUAACAUAUUAUGUAAGCUCAAGAUCAAUACCUUUUGUAUUAUGAGAUUCUUCUGCUUUGCCUGGUGAGGUUGGCUCAACGGUAGCUGUUGUGAGGUUGGCUCAACGGUAGCUGCUUCUGUGACUAGCAUGCUGACUUCUUCUGCUUGCUUCUGUUGCUUCUCUUGGUUCUCACACUCAUCUACAUCGAUGAAUAUUAGAUGACACAAAUCUUCCUUAGCAUGUACAUUCUUCUUCCUUUCUGGUGAGGGAAUGAGUGAGUGAAUAGUACCAGAGUUCCUUGUGAGCUUGGAAAAAUCCGUUUUGUAGACAGAUCACAAAGUCACAUACUCUUAAUUUGUCUCUGAGUCGGUUUUGGAUUGCCUCGUCUUUUUGGGUGCUUGAGAAACUUUCUCAUCACCUUUCCUCUUAACCUCGACUUUCUUUAACUUCUUUGUUGGAGGAGAUGUUGUGACUUUGGAUGAUUUCCUCUUAUUCUUCUUGUUGUCUGCAGUUUCUGAGUCACCAGGAGUUUAAUCCGGAAAGAACUAAUCCGCAACUAAUUACUAAUAUUUUUCAUUGAAAAAAAAUAAUUUUAAAUAAGACUGGUACCUUGGUCUGUUGUAAAUUUGUAAGAACUAAUUUGACAGACAAUGAUAUAACUCAAAGACUAAUUUAUUUGUAAGUGCAAUAAUUUUGUUACUAAUUUUUGACCGUAAAUAACACACAAGUUAGCAGAAGGACCAAGUUGUUCAAUAUAAUUCAAAAUGUGAUUGUUUUUGCCAUGGCAUCCCCCAGUUUUUCUAUAAUUACACAAGAUUCCCUUUGUCUCGAUGGUUAGGAAGUACAAUUUUCUUUUGGAUGUCUCGUGUCUGAGUCCUAAUUCCCCUCAUUUUUAUAUUUCUAUUAUAUUAUAUUUUAAAUUUUAUUAAAAAAAUGUUCUUGAGGGGGAAUCGAACACGCACCACUACACUGAAUUCUAGCAAAAAACUGACCCCUAGACCGGUUACUGAUCUGAAGAAUAUUAUGAAACAACUAAACAUAUAUUCCAUAAAUUUUGGCACCCCCAAGAUAAAAACUCAAGAUCCGCCAUUGCCUAACUCAAGGUCCUAAAUACGCCACUACCAUUAACUAUAAUUAAUAAGAGUGUUUUAGAAAAUGAAACAUAUUUUGAACAUAUUUCUUAUCAUUUCUUUAACAAUUAUGUAAAACUCAAAAGGAACCCUUAAUUUGAGACAGAGGAUAUAUAAUAAUCGAUGAAGUUUAAUAUCUGCAAAAAAGUGUUAUUAAGUGAAGUAAACUUAACAAGGGUGACACUUGUUUUCUUUUGGUAAGGUGUGGGAGCACUCUUGACUGAGUUUCUAUUUUUUUUUUUUAUAUUCUUUUGAAAGUUGUAGUGGUGUAAUUGGGUGGUUAGUUGAAGUAAUUUUCGUUUUGGUUCUUGCUUGAUCUAUUUUGCAUUGUGAAAUUUCAAUUCUUAGUUUGCUUUCUACAUUGACGGAGUUGCUAAGUUGCAAUCAAACUUUUGAGUGUGUAUUAAUUAUAACAGUAAGAGUGUUGCUAGCACUACUCUUAUAUAAAAUCAGAUGUAUUUUUAAAUUUAUUUAUUUAUUUUUUUUUUUUUAAUUUCUACGAAAGUGGUGCACUUUUCCAUGAAUAUGCUUUUAGUGCAACUCCUUACCAAUGUAGUCAAACAAUUUCUUAAAACUCAUUGUUAUUAGUCAUUUCGAAACAAUGUAUUCACCAAGACAAAGGAGUGGGUGGAAGGAUAAUGGGUGCAUGCACAAUCAAGAAAAAGUUAGGUGAACAUUACAAUCAAAAUAUAUAGCAUAGAGCAUCAAAAUUUAUCGUAUGAAACAAUGUUUUUCUAAAAUAUGAAUGUGAACAAAUAACCCUUCAACUCAUAAGAUGAUCUUUAAUAUAUAGAAUUAGAAAGUUAGAGUAUCAGUACACCGAAAUUUAUAUAUUCAAAAGUGAGGCGUAGUUGGUUUUCCUCUUUAUGUAGUAUAGUUCGGUUUUUCCAUUUUAUUAUGGUACUUAUUCCUAUCAAAUUGAUAAAUCAGCUUUAUCUUAUAAUUGAUUUAACUAAUGAUGACUUGAACAUCAAUAUUAUAUAUUCGGAUAUACGAGUACUUCAUCGUGCUCUUAAUUUAGAGAUGUUUUGAGUUUGUUUACAAAUUGAAUCUUUGAAUUUUAGACAUAGAACUUGUACUCUUUUAGAUAUAAUAUACCGAUUUGAAUGGAUAAAUACCGUAAUUCCAAACAUAUAUUUUUUUUUCACACACAUACCUCAUCCAUUACGAAACGCAGGAACUAAAGCUAUAUAAUAUAGUGAAGCUAAUUUAAUAAAAAAUAUAUAUAUUUGGUGAUGCUAAACUCAGUCUAACUUAAUGCCAGUUCAAAAGGAACACUGUGGUAUGGAGGAAUUCUUUGUUUUGCAUUUAUAAAUGGCAACUAUACCCUAUUAAUCAUCAUCAUAAAAAUAAUUUUUAUAAUGUAUGAGACCAAGUUUCACGUCUCUAUUAUUUUUCAUCAUUUUUUAGAAUUGUACGAUCUUGUACCAGAUCUUCGUUUAGUUAUGAUGAUAGCAACCACUCUCACUGAAAAAUUAUAUAAUAACAUUUUUUUGGCAUAUUUAAUUACUGAUCCUGUCGGUGUAUUAUUGUAAAAUUAGGCAAUUUGUCCAAUCAAUUCACACAUAAUUUCAAACCUGGCAACUAUAUAAAAACAAAAUCAUAGGUAAAUAAUGUAGAAAAUCACCAACAACCCUUGAAUUUUGUUACAAGAAAGGGCCAAGUCAUCACCUUAUCAAGAUUGUGAGUGGAUUCACAAAGAUCACGACUAGUAUAAAAGGAGGAAGUCACUCUUGUGUUUUCUGCACCAAACUCAUAAGUCACUAACAUGGCUUCCUCAAACUUCCUAGUGCUGCUUCUUUUUGCUCUAUUUGCCAUUCCUCAGGGUCUUGCCAAUUAUGAGAAGCCUCCGGUUUACCAACCACCGGUGUAUAAGCCACCAGUUGAGAAACCCCCGGUCUACAAACCCCCUGUAGAAAAGCCACCAGUAUAUAAGCCACCAGUAGAGAAGCCUCCAGUUUACAAACCACCGGUGUACAAGCCACCUGUGUACAAACCCCCAGUAGUGAAACCCCCAGUCUACAAACCUCCUGUUUACAAGCCACCGGUGUACAAGCCACCAGUUUACAAACCACCAGUAGAGAAGCCCCCAGUUUACAAGCCACCUGUAUACAAACCCCCAGUAGUGAAACCCCCAGUCUACAAACCUCCUGUUUACAAGCCACCAGUUGAGAAGCCUCCAGUUUACAAGCCACCAGUAGUGAAGCCACCUGUUUACAAGCCCCCAGUCUACAAGCCACCAGUAGUGAAGCCACCUGUAUACAAGCCUCCAGUCUACAAGCCACCCGUUUACAAGCCUCCAGUUGAGAAGCCUCCGGUCUACAAGCCACCUGUUUACAAGCCCCCAGUUGAGAAACCUCCAGUCUACAAGCCACCGGUUUACAAGCCUCCAGUCGAGAAGCCACCAGUUUACGGACCUCCUCACCACCCAUAGGACUCUCGGAUGCUUUUAAGUAAAUAAGUUAAAUAAGAGAUAUAUAAUGUUUCCAAAGCAAGGAUUAUAUAUUCUUGGAAUCUUCAUUUUAGUCUUUUGUUUACAAAUCCUAUUACCAAGAUAAGAAUGUGAAAGAAAAUGGUGCAUUUGUACUCCAAGUUAUGAAUAAGAACGUUGUGAUUUAGCACUUUUUAAUUUGUGUUGGUUGACUAAAUUGGACAUAGUAUAUAUAUACUCUACUUAAUACUCUGUCAUAUCAGUAAGGUGCAUGAAAGUUCAAUUUUCUGUAGUAGACAUAACGAAUAAUUAAUUUAUGUUUGAAUCUAGAAUUUACUAAACUUCACGUACUUGGAAUUUCAUUGCAUUAUAGCUUGACUCAGUAGUAGCUUUAGUGAAAAAUGAUUUUGGUGCUUAAAAUUUUAAGAGUUGGAGUUUGGACAAAUUAUACACUCAUAUAAUUUAGUUAUCUUUUCAAAUUUACAAUUACAAUUUUCAAGGUUCUAUAUUUGUGUUGAUGCACCAAUUAAGAGAAUGAUCAAGAAAAUUAGGUUUUUAAUUGGUUUUUAUCGAUGAUUUCUGAAGAUAUAUUUCGGCAGAUGAACUAAUCCUUCAAUUUAAGAGAUUAAAUUGCCAUUUUACAAAUUUCAAUGAUUAUAUUAUUACCUAAUCUUAAAUAUAAUUUUUAGGGCUAAAACGAUGAUUCACUCAAUAUAUAUUGUGAUUUCUUAUUUUUUUUAUGAUAUAAAGAUAGCUGAAGUUGUGUGAUAUACAAAGUUAUAUUUCCUUUGGAAGAUAAGAGUCCCCCACCAUAUUGACAUGAAAGUGAACGUGGGAAAAUAUGUGCAAUUAAGGUUCCAAAUAUUAAACAAUAGCCACAAUAAUUGUCUAUAACUCAUAACAAAUAUAAGAACUUGAUAAGAAAAAUAAUAAAUAUAAGAACAUGAGCAGGCCAUAGUUUUUUAGCCCGAGAAGCUUCAUCUUCUUUUUAAGUCUAACAUUUUUUAAUCUUCAUUCAAAGAAGAUUGGUGAUUUUGGGAUAUUUUUAUAAGAUAGGUAAAUAAUGAAAUUUGUGUUGUACUCGAAGAAAUCUACCACACGAUUUGAAUGAAUAUAUUACUUUUAGUCAAAAUAAAUUAAAAUAAAGAAUGUAACAUUUCAAACUCACUCACAUAUAAAGAAUGAAUUUACAAUCUUUAAAACACAAAUAUUUAAUCCUUAAAUCUAACACCUCUCUUAGUUUUAGCGAAAUGAACUUUGUGUUGUACUCGAAGAAAUCUACCACACAAUUUGAAUGAAUAUAUUACUUUUAGUCAAAAUAAAUUAAAAUAAAGAAUGUAAAAUUUCAAACUCACAUAAAAAGAAUGAAUUUACAAUCUUUAAAACACAAAUAUUUAAUCCUUAAAACUAACACCUCUCUUACAUUUAUUUUGUUUACGUACCUUUAUUUUGUUUUCAAAUACUUAUAUUUAGUUGAAUUCCUUCAUUAUACUCUUUUUAAUGAAUUUUCUGAACAAAAUAAAAUUGUGUUACUCAGUCACUCAAAUUAGAGUGGAUAGAGCAAUGAAAAUAUUUAUUACUAUGUAGUUUAUAGUUGGAGUGAUCGGAUAGUCUAGUGGGAUCUUAGCCACUCUCGUUUGACUCACUUGGAGCAUGUCAAAAAUAUUUUUUUGAAAAUGAACGAUGGAGAUUUACUUUGCACUAGGUCCAGUGAAAAAGAUAUGGGAGAUAAUCCCAAUCUUAGCUUAUUGGGUAGGCCAGUGUUGAGAAUGGAUUCUCUCAAAUGUAAUUAUCUCACUAGUCUAAUUACCAACACAAUCAAAGAGAAAAAAUAGUGGGAUGUAAGUAAAAAAUCCAUAUUCUACUUACUCAAUCAUCUAUACAAGCUACUUUAAUUAUCUAGUCGAACGUUACGAGCGUUACAAGAGAAAUCAGAAUAUCGAUGAUCAAAAUCCUUCAAAGCAAAAGAUGUUGUUGUGUGCAAGUGUGAGUUAUAUGCCCCACAUCGGAUAAAAGAGUAAAGGUUGAACACCUUAUAAGUAAGAGGACCAUAAACCCAAAGCCUUAAGGUUUUGGGUAAGAGUGUGGUGUCUCCCUUGCUUGUCUGGUUGUUCUAGCCUCGAUGUGGACGCUCCCCCAAGCUCCCCUCGCUGACCCAACAGUGGUAUCAGAACCCCGGUUCGAUGAAGGGUACGACUGAGGCCGCCUGUCAGUUGUGCAGAAAGCAGCAACGACGGUACAAGCAACAAGUGGCUUCUUGUGCAGCAACGGCUAUACAUGCAAAGUAAAAAGCUUCCACGCGGUACAAGCAACAAGUGGCUUCUUGUGCAGCAAUGGCUAUACAUGCAAAGUAAAAAGCUUCCACUCUAGGGGAGCGACUCACGCUUGAGGGGGAGUGCUGUUGUGUGCAAGUGUCUGUUAUAUGUCUCAAAUCGGAUAAAAGAGUAAAGGUUGAACAUCUUAUAAGUUAGAGGACCCAUAAACCCAUAGCCUUAAUACUGUCCUUUUUGCAUAUUUAGCCCCCCCGAAACCAAUUUUAACCAAUUCAACGAUGACGUGGAUGUCACGUGUGUAAUGCUUUAAUUAUUUUAGUUUUAGAUAGAUACAGAGAGAGAGGUGUCAUAUGUCAAAAAAAAAAAAAGAUAGAAAAGAUUUCCUUCCUUGAAUCGUUGAGGUAACUACAAACUAAGACAAUGAUGUUAUUGGUUACUUGUUUCUAAUACCUUUGAAAAAGAUAGUUAGACCAAUGUAUUGGUCAUUAACUCUUUUCAAUGGUUACUACCCUAGUGUCUAAGGUGAGUCAUAACAACGUCAAAGUAAGUACAAUUAUUAUUAAUUUAUGUCUACACCUAAUCAAUAAUUGAAGGUUAAGAUAGGUCAAGCCAACAAAGUUAAGGUUAAGAUAAUCAUUUUCACCUAAAUUGAUUUAUGAACAUAUGUUAAUGAUGACAGUCCGUCAUAUCACAUUUUUAGAGUCUUUUCAAUUAAGUUUUUAUUCUAAUUUUAUUAAUUUAGUACUUAAUUUAGAGUCAUUUUAAAUAAAUUGUCAUUUUCUUAUUAUUGAGUCAACUAGUGUAUUAUUACUAUUAUUAUUGGUCAAUUAGUGGCUAGUAAAGAGAAUGAAACAAAAACAUGGUUUUGUGAUGGAUGUGAUUGGCCAAGAAAAAUGAUAACAAGUUGAACGAAAGAAAAGAAGACCACACAAUGUUGCAUUAGGGUGCAGGAAUCAAAACCAAUAUAAUUGGGCUUUCUUUCAUGGACGUUGAACCAAGAAAAAGAAAAGAAAAGAUAACUUGCUGCAUAAUGUUAAUUUGGAAAGAAAAAUAGGUUUGACAAGCUAUAAAAGGAGACCACGCACAGGAACAAAGCAGACGAUUGGGAAAGAAAGAGCAGCACGCGGUACGAGACAAAAGGAGGAGGAGAAAAGCUCAUGGAAUUUGGAAUAUGCAACAGUACUGAUUAAAUAGAACAAAGCCGGUAGACCAUAAUUCGAUCGGUUUAUUUCUUUUAGUAUGUUGUUUAUUCCUUUAAUAUGUCUAGUUAAUUCCAUUUGAUUGAGUCACGAUGAACCUAUUGUAAUAUAUGAAUCAGUAGUUAAAACUCUUUUUAUUAUCAAUAUUAUUCAGUCUUUAUUCAGAAUUAUCUGUGUUCAUUGCCUUUCAUAUGAUUGUUUGCAUUGUUUGCAUUGUUUGCAUGACUAUUAACCCUAACUUCUUACAAUCACAUAAAUUGAUCUUAGGAAUUGAAUGACUACUAACCCUAACUUUUAAUCCUGAAAUAAUAAUUCUGUUUAAUUCAACAUAGGAACCUAGAGAUAGGAAAUUGAGGAUUAUGACAUAUAACGUUCUAACAUCGCUUCCGCGGUUAUUCAACCAGUUUAAAAGAUUAAAAGGUUAUAACUUAGGAAAUGGUUUUGAGUCAAGAGAUUGAUCAAAACUAAUUAGUUAAUUUGUCGUAAAGAUUGAAUAAGUGUUGAGAGCAAAGAGAGAUAAACUAUUUCACAUAAAACAAUAGAGGAUUUACCGGCUGAUCAUCUGUUUUAAUCCAAUUAUCAAACCAUUUUAUUUUAUGUUAUUUACUUUUUAUUGCACACAAACGUACUGCCUCAUACACUUAUAAAAUUUACACAUCCUAGAUAUUAACUUUAUUGCUAGUUUGAGAUUAACACAGUCCUCGUGGAUACGAACUUAUUUUAUUACUUCGAUAGUUUUAGUACACUUGCUAAAAUAUUUAUGAGUUAACCAAUAAAGAGUAUCAAGAACAACUUUAACCGAAUAAAAUAGAAAAGUAAUUAAAUGAAAUUUAUAGAAUUAUUCAAAGUUACAUAAUCAAACAAUUACGAGGAAGUUCUUAUUUCAUGACCUAACAUAUAUAGUAUUAGCUACUCAUAGAUUUUCUAAACAUAUAUAAAUAGAUAUGAAGAAGAAAGCAUGAGAAAAGGAUCAGCAAGUGAGGAUUAAUUGGCUCCCUAAUGGCCGUGGUCACUCCAAUCCUUCCAAAAUUGUGUUUCUGCCUUCGUCUUCUCGCUAAAAAGUAUUUUCCACUAACUUAGGUUUCAAUAUUUAUAGGUGUGCAUUUCCUUAAGUUUUUGGGAAAUUGGCACACGAUGCGAUCCUAUUCCUCAUGAUGCGAGGAUAACAUAACUAAUCUUGUUGGCCUCACGUUUAUUGUCCCGAUGCAAAGCUCAUGAAGAUUGAUACGAUUCAAGGAAAUGUGAUUUGAUUUAACCAAGCAAAAACCAAGAUCAUAGGAUAACAAUGAUACGAUUCAAAGAAGUGUUAACUUGAUUCACAGUAAUACAAUUCAAAGAAUCAUGAAUCGUUUAAAAAUUUAUGGAAAAUUAGCAGAAACUUUUCAUGAUAAGAUUCAAAAAAGUUUGAAUUGAAUCAAUUGGUUAGAAAAACAUUUUGACCAAGAAAAAUGAAGUUUUCUUUAUACAAACAAAACACAAGACAACAAGGGAUCAUAUGAUUUAUGAGGCAAGAUUUCUAGGUAUGCUUUAACAUGAUAUUAGUCAAUAACAACUAAUAUCUAAACAUCAUCAAAUAAAAACUACCUAAUGAACAUCAUAAAAACACAAACCUAUAACUACACAACUUCAUCCAACUUAUUGGGUGUACCGCAUUAACUAGAUAAUGGUCAUAUCUAUACUAUAUAUAAAGAAAAUAACAUGUUUUUCAAGGUGAGAAAAACACGAGAGGGGGGGGGGGGGGGGGUUGAAUUGUGGUUUCUUUCUCUUCUCCUAAAACCGAAUUCACUAUUCAGAACUUGAUAGAGUUCAGCUUCUGAAGUAGUGUUCAGAGUCUAGUUGCAGCGGAUAAGAAAAGAGAGAGAGAGAGAGAGGCAAGACACAAAGCAACUAUACAGAUUCCUUCCACAAACCGGAACUAGUCAUGUCCCCCUUGCACCUCCAAGAAGAGUUCACUAAAAUCAAUAUUCGAUUACAAUUGCUCAGGGCUCAAAAUAGCAAGAGACUUCAAACUACUCAAGAACAACUACAAGAGAUUUCCUAUGCUCAAGAACAAAAUCAAGAGACUUCCUAUGCUCAAGCACAACUGCAAGAGACUUCAUACAAAUCAGAUAAGACUCUUAAGAUUCUAGAAUUUCUAAAAUAUGAAAGUUGAUAAGAAAUUCUAAGUGAACUUUGAUGUGAAACAUUUUUAGCAGAGUUUUGGCACUUGUAAAAUUGUUGUAAGUCUCUUAGAAAUCUUCAAGUCUUCACUCCUUUAUAUAGAGGUGUGAAAGAGACGUUGUUGAUUUCCAACACAUUAAAAGAGUCGUUAUUGAAGCUUGAUCAAAUUUCAAUUCCAUUCCAAGUAUAGAGGAAUACCAGCGUAGUCACAAUUGUUGUUCUUGUACUAUUGCAGACAGAAAACAGAGUAGUGGAGAAGGUGGUUGUACAAUUGUACUAUUGUCCUUUUCCAAUGUUCUUCAAGGGAUAAGCAUCCAAUGACUUCAAAUUCCUCUUAAUUAGUUGUUGCUCUAGACUUCUAUUCCUUCUGCAAUGAUAGGCAUGAUAAUAACAACUCUUGACAAAUAUUGAAGCUUCCAGUCUUUCAGCUUAUGAUCUUAAACUUCUAACGACGUCAGCUUCUGGUAGUCUCCAGCUUAUGAUAAAAGUGCUUCUGAUGAUGUCAUCUUCAGAACCUCUUUGUCUUCAAAACCUCUUUUCCUUCAGAUGGUUCCUUGCAACUCAAGCUUCCUUUUUUUAAAUUCCAUUGCUCUCAUUUGUUCUUCUAGAACCCAUGCUUCAUUUAAAGACACUCAAAUUUUUGUAUAUGGUCCUGCACACUUGAACAAAUAUUAUCAUAUCCAAUUGAAUUUUUUUAAUACCUUGUUAUCAUCAAAACUUAAAGGGUAAUGUUAAACACAUUUUGUUCCAACAUUUUUGACUCUUUUAGAAUGACUUUUUCUCUUUCCAAAAUUACCAUCAACUUUCAAUACAAAUAACACAUACAACAAGAAUUGUGUUAUUUGAACAUCCAUAUAUGCGACAACUUUUGUGACAACCAAAAUUUUACAAAGAAAAUGAAGUAGUGGCACAAAAACCAAAGCAAUAGAGAGAGAAAGUAAAAAGAUAAUGUGAGUAUGAGAGAGAAAGUUGUCACAAAAGUUGUAAAAAAUAGUUGUUCAAAUAUCAUUUCUCCAUACAACAAAUAGAUGAGAGUAAAUUCAAACAUUAAAAUAAAAUUGUAAUACACACGAUAUGAGUAUAUAUGUCCAGUUUUUUCCUUUAUCAUUUAAAAAAUGUAACAAACAAGAUGAGAAUAUCAGAGAGAUGAGAGAUAGUGACGUGAGACAAGAAAGACCUCUCCGUGGCCCGCCUUUGCUUGAACGGUGGUAACCGCACCAGAAUUUAUCUCCAUUUGAGAGAUACACUAGGGGGUAGGUAUGCAGCCUGGGUGGUAGAAAAUGGGGGGGGGGGGGGGGGGGGUAUGGGUGAUUGGUCUGUAGUUAGGUCACGAAAGAGGAAAGCGACGCAAUCGGAAGAUCGAGGAAGGGACAAGUCAAGGGUUUCAGAGCGACGCGGAGGCACGGUAAGGGUUAGAGGGAUCGCACAUAAUGAUUACGGGUUUGAUGGCAGAGAGGCGCGACAAUCAGCAAGGGCUCUUCAUGAUCAGCAAGGUUUGGGUCGUUAUCAGUUUGGAAACAACGAUUUGGCUUUCGACAGAUGCGGGUCUGAUGCUAUCAUGGGAAAAGGCUUCUUCGACGACAAACAUAACAAUGGUAGUAAAAUUACUUUCUAUUUUGCAAACAUUCCUGAUUAUAUGCCGUUGUUUCGUCUCCGUCAAUACUUUGAAGUGUGUGGUAUUUUGUCUGAUGUCUAUGUUGCCAGACAACUAAAUUCACGUGGUCAGGUCUAUGGCUUCGUUAGAUUUUUGAAUGUGAGGAACAAGGACAAAUUAGCACAAGAUUUGAAUAAUGUAUGGAUUGGUGACUUUAAGGUCUGGGCGCGUGAAGCAAAAUUUGAUAGGUUUGCACAAUAUGAUGAUGAUCAUAGGGUGUCUAUGCAUGGUGAUAGAAGGGAUGAGAAUGGAGGGGAGAGGAGGCCGGUGGUGAGAACUAAUGGUGAUGGAGUAAAAAAUAUGAGGAUGUGUAAUUUUAAAAAAAUAGGAGGGAUAAUAAAAAUAGUUGUUGGUCUCAUUUUAAAAAAAAAUAAAAAAAUUGUUUAUAUAUUUUUGUUAUAUUAUCGGUGUCAAUGAAAUGGAUAAUCAUGGUUAAUUUGAUUUGUUAUAAUUUGAAAGCAACACACAUUUAUAUCUUUAAUUUUAAUCAAAAUCAAAAUGUUAUAAAAAAUACUAUUGCUAAUUUUCAAAUGUUAACACAAUAAAAAGAGCAGAAAGACGGAGUGCCCGUCUUUUCACUAGUUAUAAUAAAAGAAAUUUUAUUUGAUGUAUUGAUAAUGAUACUGAAACUUUUUACACAUACAUCCAAACAUUAUUCAUGACAUCACUUUUAUACAAGUUCUAAAAUAUCGCUGUAACAAAAAGGUUAAAAAACAACUCAUGAAAUAUGUACAUGAUUUAAUUGAAUAUAUGUGUAAAAGAAAUUAUAUAUCAACAUCUAUAAAUUAAAUUUAUUAUUGAAAUGAAAUACUAGUAAAAAUGAUGGCCAGCAUUUAUGAAAAUAAAGGUCUAACUGAUCAUGGGCCAAUUUAAAUCAAAAGUAGAUUUGUGCCCUCUAAAGGGUACUAGAAUAUAAAAGAUGGACGGCAAACAAGGGACACAAAGAAUAGAGAUGCUCAAUUUAAAACACAACUUCGAUUUUUUUUUUAUUUACUAAAAAAUAACUUAGAUUGUUUAGAGAAGAUAGGAAUUCAAUUAGUCUGACAACAUAUUUUGGAAGUACAAUUAGUUUCACAAUUAACUAUUUUGAUAAUCCUCCUUAUUAAAAAAAAAUUAAUAUUCCAUUUCGUCAAAUAAAACAAAAAGUUAGGGAGUGAUGAGAGAUCUUAGUCAAUAUUGUUUUGCACCAUAAUAUUUUUGAGAGAUUGAUUUGGCAUUUACAUGCUUCCAACAAAUACAAUGUAACAAGUGCUUAUAAUUAUAUGAUAUCGUCUCUUAAUAUUGUGACAGCUGAUCACUUAAACACAAUUUGGAACAACGAGGUCCCUCUGAAAGUUAGUCAUUUUACAUGGAGUUUGCUCUGUAGCCGAUUACCAACAACAAAUAAUUUUAUCAGAAGGCACAUUCUUAAUCAUAAUGUUCAACUUUGUGUAGGCUUUUGUGGUAUAAUGUAAGAUAUAGACGAUCUAUUUCUCUCUUGUGAUUUUUUUGAAAUUUUUUAGAUUGGUAUCUAUAAUUGGCUCGGCUUUACUAUGGUACAUCCAGAACAUCCGAAUAACUUUUCAACUCAUAUGGUUAACUUGUGUUUGGGUGAUUUGAUGGGAAAGAAAUGCUUGAAGUUUUCGCAAUCAAGAAGAAUCGUUACAACAUCUUCUUGACAAAAUUAAGCUUCAAUCCUAUUAGUGGUUGAAAGCGAAUAGAAUUUUCGCUCAAUUUUAAUAAAGUGGAUACUAUAUGAGAUUUUCGCUCAAUUUUUUAUGAGUAUGGACUGCACUUGGCGUUAGUCAUUGAACUCAUUUUACGAGACUCAAGUUCCAACUUAAGCCAAAAACUGAAACCAAACAAAUGAAGUAAAAAACUCAAGUUCCAAACUAAUGCGUGAUUUUAGUCAAAACAAUGUUUAUUUUUUGACAGUAGUUAGUUUUGGAUUACAGCUAUAUCCCUACACCCCACAAACUAUACCCCUCUCACCAAUAGACAAAACAAAAGAGUAGGUGGAAGGGUACAUAAUUAAGAAAAAGUUAUGUGAAAAACAAUAUUUUCUAUAGCCAAAACCAAAAGAUAUAUAUUGCAUUAUUGCAUAUAUACCAAUAAAAGAAGUACUGUGAAAUACAAGAUAAUGGCAUUAGAUUAGAAAUGGCCAAUUUGAUCUGUCUAUUUUUAAUCAUAUUAUUUAGAUUUGUUCAAUCUUUUACCAAAUCUUAUUUAGUUAUGCAAAAAGCAACACCUCUCGUUGAAAGAUAAUAAUAACGAUUUUUGGCAUAUGUUACUAAUAUUGAUUGAAAAAUGUUACCAAAUGAUGCAACUUCCCAACUCCAAUCCACUCAUAAUUUCAAACUUCGCUACCAUAUGAAAACAAAAUCACAGGUAGAAAUGUGUUGGAAAUCCUCAACAACUAUUGACUUUUGGUACAAAAGAGUGCCAAGUCAUUACUAAUUCAAGAUUGAGACAUGCAGCUGUGAGUGGAUUCACUAAGAUCACGACUAGUAUAAAAGGAGCUGGUCACACUUGUAUUUUAUGCACCAAAUUAUAAGUCACUAACAUGGCUUCCUCAAACUUUCUAAUGAUGCUCCUCUUUGCUCUCUUUGUCAUCCCUAAGGGGUUUGCCAACUACGAGAAACCUCCAGAGUAUCAUCCACCAGUUGAAAAUCCCCCAUUUUAUAAACCACCGGUAGAGAAACCACCUGUGUAUAAACCACCAAUAGAGCAACCUCCAAUUUAUAAGCCACCUGUAGAAAAUCCUCCAAUUUAUAAACCACCAGUAGAGAAACCACCCGUGUAUAAACCACCGUUUGAGAAACCUCCAAUCUACCAUCCACCAGUAGAGAUACCACCAGUGUACAACCCACCAGUUGAACAUCCUCCAAUUUACAAGCCUCCUGUAUACAAACCACCAGUAGAGCAACCUCCCGUCUAUAAGCCACCAGUAGAGAAGCCUCCAAUUUACAAGCCACCAGUAGAGAAACCUCCUGUUUACCAACCUCCUGUUUACAAGCCCCCAGUUGAGAAACCUCCAGUGUACAAGCCACCUGUAGAAAAGCCACCAGUGUACAAGCCACCUGUAGAAAAGCCACCAGUGUACAAGCCACCUGUAGAAAAGCCUCCUAUAUACAAACCACCAGUAGAGAAACCACCAGUGUACAAACCACCCGUUGAGAAACCCCCGGUUUAUAAGCCACCAGUAGAGAAACCACCUGUGUACAAGCCACCAGUUGAGAAGCCCCCAAUUUACAAGCCACCAGUAGAGAAACCACCUGUAUACAAGCCACCAGUUGAGAAGCCUCCAGCUUACAAGCCACCAGUUGAGAAGCCACCUGUAGAGAAACCACCAGUGUACAAGCCACCGGUUGAGAAGCCCCCAAUUUACAAACCACCAGUUGAGAAGCCUCCAGUGUACAAGCCACCGGUUGAGAAACCACCUGUCUACAAGCCACCUGUAGAAAAUCCACCUGUUUACAAGCCACCAUUUGAGAAACCUCCAAUUUAUAAACCGCCAAUAGAGUAUCCACCCGUGUACAAGCCCCCUUUUGAGAAACCCCCCAUCUACAAGCCACCUGUAGAGAAACCUCCUUUUUACAAGCCUCCGUUUGAGAAUCCACCAUUUUAUAUACCUCCAGUUGAGGAGCCUCCUGUUUACAAGCCUCCAUUCGAGAAGCCACCAAUUUACACUCCUCCAUUCUAGAGCCCACCUUACCACCCAAAGUUCCCUCGGGCAGGCGAUGGUACUCGUUAAUAGAACAUGCUAUGAAGAAAAUAUGUUAAAUAAGAGAUAUAUAGAGUUUUUUAUUUAAUCAAGGAAUAUAUAUAUUCAUGUAAUCUUCAUUUCAAUACUUUGUUUACAAUACUCUUGCUAUGAUAAGAAUAUGAGUGAAAAACAGAGAAAGAAAAUAGUGUGCUUUUCUAUUCGAAAUUAUGAAUAAGAUUUCUAUGAUUUAGAUGUUGUGUUGGUUGACUAAAUCGUGAUACAUCGACAGAGGCAGAGCCCCUCAUGCGCCAAGGUGGGUCAUGGCCCACCCCCAAAUUUUGUUUCUUAUUAUAUAUAUAUUAUGUUUUGUAAAUUUUUGAUGUUUUUGUAGCAUGUUGUAGUGGUUAAGAGCCUUUUUGCCAAGUCGUAUGUGCUAGGUUCAACUCUUGCCAAAACCAUUUUUAUUUAUUCUUUUAUUUUCUUUUGUAUAAAAAAAAAACAUAAUUCAUAAUUGUUAAAAUAAUCCUUUUUUUUGUUACUUAAUCCUUUCUUUCUUUAAUAAAACAUAACUCCUUUAUUCGAUUUAAAAUAAUCUUUCCUUUCCUUACUCUUAUUUUUGGAUACAAUUGUCUCUUUACUCUUUUAUUUUAAUUUUUUUUUUAUACAAAGGGGACUUCAACUCUUUUUUGUCAAAAAACAUUCUCUUUUAAAACAUAUAACAUAUUUUUUAUACUUAGUCGUUUGAUUCAAUUCGAUUUUAUACCUAUACAUCUGUUUAUUGAAGUCGAGUCAUUUAAUUCAGUCGUUAGGUUCAAUGGCCUAGUUGUUCGAUCAAUUAUCUUGAACUUUAUCAAGGUUGAUAAACAGUUCAUAUUUUAAAAUACCGGUUUAAAUUAUAUUCAACAAAUAACAAAUUUAUAGUCAUUGGAACCAACCAAUAAUAAAAUGUACUUGUAAGAAAAUAAAGCCUCAUCACUAUUUAUGGCCCACCCUAUACUUUUUUCCUAGCUCCGCCACUUUACAUCUUCGUAUUCUUUAGGAAGUUUCAACCUUGUUGACUAUGACAACAGUGACGACUAUAACGAGACUCGCUAUUGACUAUGACAACAGUGACGACUAUAACGAGACUCCCUACUUUUUGGUUUGCUUCAACAGGUUCUCAACAUAAAUAACUAACCAAGUUAAUUUGCCUGUGAAAUGUGAUAUUAGUAAGGUGCAUGAAGGUUAAGUUCUUUAGCAAAGCUUAGUAUCUUGAAUUAAAGAAUAUCGUUAAUUAAACUAAAUAUUCAUAUUAGGUAUCACAAUUUUCAAGACUUUAUAUGUACGUGUUGAUCCAUUAAUUAAGAGAAAUUAGACUUUAGACCCGUGCGUCGCACGGGUCAUUUCGACUAAUAUAUAAUAAUAAGUAAUGGUAAAAAAAAUUCUAAAAUAAAUAAAAGAUGAAGAGUAUUAUACAUUUUACUUACUCAAGUUCAAAAAAUAAAGUAGGAGAUGACAUGAAAUCGUUUAGUUGAAACAAACGAAUAUUAAAAAAUAAAAAUUAGACAACGACAGGGAUCUAAAAUUCUAUUUCUAAUCCUUCACAUAUCAAAAUUACAAUUGGUUCUCUUCAUUGUAAUCAUCUAAACUUAAUUAAAAAAUUUACAAGUGCAAAUAGAAUCGACAUUAUACAAGUCACUACUUGAUUCCAAAAACCUAUGUUUCAUGAAAACCACUCAUACCUAAAUAACAAUAAUAAACCUUCAAAACAAAAAUCAACUAUUCUCAAAGGACCCAAAAGAAAGAUUUUUAGCCUUCUAAAUCACAAUUUCUCUUGUUGUAUUGUUUUUGUGUCAAAAGCACCAUAAGUUGAAUAGUAGGCUCAGACACAUGACUUUCCUCAUAAGACAAAAUCACCAGUUUUUUAUAGGUUGAAAAAAUAAAUCAAAUAUCCUUAACUUUCAAUAACGCUUAGAAACAACUGAAACUUUUGCAUUAUCUCAAUCCACAAACAAAAUUGAAGACCUUUAUAUUUGCUUUAGGCACCUUAAGGAAUUCUAUGUAAAUUGUUUUCCUGCAAUGAAAUGCUAAACACAAUGAGCAAAGAAGAAGAAUUAACAACAAUAUUUGGAUUGUUUUAUUUAGCUUACAAUUCUUUAAACUAAUCAANAACACAAUGAGCAAAGAAGAAGAAUUAACAACAAUAUUUGGAUUGUUUUAUUUAGCUUACAAUUCUUUAAACUAAUCAACAAAAAAUUAAAUUUGCAUUAUAUCCUCCACAAUAUCAAGAAUUUUUCAAAGGGAUCAUUCUAUUUGUAUGGCUAUGAUGAGAACUCAUGUGUGUCCAUGAAGACCAGCUCUACGGAUAACCAUGUUCAUAUUAACUAUUUUAGGAGUGAAAAUAGGAUUGGAUUGGAUUUAGUAGUGAGCUGUUGUUUUUGAUUUCAGAAGCAUUUGAAAAUAACAUUUUGAUUAAAUGGAAAUAAUAGGAAGAAUUUGUUAAUAAAAGUGAUUUUUUUUUUUUUUUUUAUGUUGAUCUUUUUAUUGUUGUGUUAGAAACAAAAUAGGACGAAAUUGUAUUUUUUUUUUUAUGUUUAUCUUUUUAUUGUUGUGUUGGAAACAAAAUAGGAGGAAAUUGUUAUAGGAAUAGGAGGAACGAUUUUUAAAGUUUAUCUCUUAAUUAAACAGGUUUAAUUGAACACGGGGGUAAUAACGUAAAAGUCAUCAUAAAAUCUAGGUUAAAAUUAGGUUAAAAAUUGGCUUACGGGUUAACUUUUAUAUAUAAAGAAGUCAAGAGAAUCUAGAUCUGUGAAGCCCCGAUACUUCAAAAUGGAUGAUGUAUCGUAUCCGCUGCGUAUUCUGUAUCGAUACCUGCCCGAUACUUCUCAAAUUUAUGAGUUUUAUUUGAUUCUUCGAAUUCGAAUUUUGAGAAUUUUAGGGUUUGAAGGUUGGUGAUGGAGGUGAAUCUGAGUUUAUAUUAAGAAUUGAUGAAGAAUUUAAGGAGAGUGCAGUGAUGGAUAGGUAACUGAGUAUGAAUUGGUAUGCAGUUUGGAAAAACAAAACAAGAGGCAGUAGCAGCACCCCCACCCUUCCUCUACUUCUUCGACAAUAUGAGUGUUAGAUUCAUUUUCCUAGGUGUGAUUUUGAGGCAGAUGAAUAUGUGUGAGAGAUUGUAGAGGAAGAUCUCAGAUAUAGCUUUUAGGGAUGAACAUGAAUGAAUGAAUUUGUAGAUGAAGAUGAAUGUUGUUUGAACAUUUAAUUAAGAAAUUUUUAAUUGUUUUUUGUUUUAAUAUUUGAAAUUAUUAAAUUGUAUUUUGAAAUUCAAAAAACCUGUUUUAAUGACAUGUAAAUGACAUUUUCCAAAUUGGCAAUGCCACAUAGGCAAAAUUUUACCACCUGUGCAUUUUUGGAUGUGAAAAUAGGGGGUAAGACUAAAACUGCAACAAAAAUGAUAAUUGAAAAACAAUUUUAAUCUGUUUUAAAAGGGCAGGACCAAUUUCCUGAGUAGGCCACAACACGAGGACCAAAAGUGUAAUUAAGCCUUAUAUUUAUGUUGAUGUGCUACAAGCUUAUGACUGGUUUCUUUUGUUUGAUAAUAUAUUUGCAUAUUAAAUAAAAUGGUUAUAAUUAUAUUCUACAUUUAAUUAUAUAAUUUUUUUAUUGACGUAUCCCAACCAUAUCGUAUCUUGAUUUUUGAAAUUUUUUCGUAUUGACGUAUCGGUGCAGUAUCGUAUCUCGUAUUCGGGCUUCAUAGAUCUAGACUAUUAAUUUUUUUGAUAAACAAGAUUAUUAUUAUUUUUUGACAAAAACAAAGUGAGAUUCAUUCAUUCAAAUUGAUAGAGUACAUCAGAUACAAACAUUGCUAAAAACGUAAAGGAUAAAUCUAUGAACAAACUCACAACACUAAAGUUCAUACAACAGCAAAAUGUCUACAAAUAAUAUGAUAAAAUCUAAGUCACCAAAAUAUUCAUGCUUCCGGGUAUGCAACGUUGGCGCCCAAAUCAUUGAUUGAAUUUGUAAUUGACUAAUGUCGAUCUUUCAACAUGAACUAAACGAACACCGCGUCAAGACGCGAAAUCAAACAUCACAUAAGACCACUAACAACACAAUGCCACAAUUAGAUGACGAAAUCACAAAAACUCAAAAGGGAAAACUUGAUAUAUGUGAAAACCAUUUGUUUAGAUCGAAAGAAAAGAGAAAAAACGAUGUAGAGGGGUGAUUUUAGGUCAAAAAUGACCUAAAACCAGUUCUUUUUAAUAAACGAAGGAGAAAGAAUGUUUAGAGAGAAGUUGGAGUUUUUUUUUACUUAAAAAAUUAGGAUAAGCAAAAUUAUUAUAGAGGGAUAAAGGGCUCCCCAACCCAUAUACAAAAUGAUGGUUGCAAUGCCAUGUAGAAAAUAAAAAGAUAACAUUGCCUUUCUUUUUACAAUUAAACUAGUUACAAACCCGUGCGUUGCACGGGUUUAAUAACGUAUUUUAUAAAAAAAAAAUCUUUUAAAAGAAAAAUGAGCAAAUUAAUGAAUAUUGCACAAACAUUAUAAAUCUUUAUCAAAAUAUUUAUGAAAGCUUUAUCAAGUCUUUAAUACACAUUAAUAUUUGUGAUGAUUGAUAAAAGAAUUAAAAAGAGUAAAGGGUAUAGAAAUAAAUUUAUUAAAGAAUUAACAAUUUGUUUAAACUUAUUUUUGUUACAAUUUAGACCAAAAAAAAUAUUGGACUUCAUUGAGUUUCUCUAUAAUUUUUUUAUCAGGCUUGAAGUUAUGACUCUGAGUUUGAAAACCGCAAAAUUCACAAAAAUUAUUGAAGAAACACUAUAAACAAAUAAACGGCAUCGUCAAAAAUGAAAUCAUAUUUGGCUAUAGUGAUCAAGCAAACAAAAAAAAAGAAGCAUAUUAAAUACCUAUAAUCAAUGGAUUCUAAUUGCAUAGAGGCGACACUUAUACUUUCUCUAUGUUUGUUCAUCAAUGAGAGUGAUUAUUUUGCGCUUUCCUUUCAGAAUUGUUCUUGACACCUAGUUUGGGAAAUGCUAAACAGGGAAAUAACUGUAAUAUUAAUCUAAUGCAUAUUAACAUGGAUAAGAUGUAUGCGAAUAUAGUUAUAUAUAACUUAUGAAAUGAAGGUAACAUAACUGAUUUUAAGCUAAAGAAAAUGUACCAUGACUUCUAAUUUAUCUUUCUAUUAUCUUCCUAUAAAGUCUAGAGAAAUGCAUGCAUGUGCAUUAUAUGUACCCCGUUGACCAAUUAACAUUUUUGAAACAAAUGAAAAUUAAGCAUCACUCCCGCAUGUGCAUCUAUAGCUAACACCAUUUGACAUUGAUGUCUUCGAACAUUUGGUGCAACUCUCAUAAUACCAUCCAAACUGGUUAGGAUUGAAUUUAGUUGUUUUUCCAAAUAGUGAUGGAGUAUGUAUCCUAACACAAAUUAUGCACGUGAAAUAAAGAAUAGUGCAAUAUGCAUUUUUAAUUUGUGCGUAAAAAAAUUCAAAGCAUGUUUGUGAAAAAAAAAAAAAAAAACAGACCUUGACUAAGUUUAUAGAUUCAUCAAUUGGCCUAACUUGAGACAGAUUGGAAAAAUCGUUCUACGAAGUACUUUUUAAACUUUACUUUUUAAUCUAUCUGAGCUUGAGAAGUGUUAAGUUCACGACAACAAUUCAAGAAACAUGGUCAAUAAACAAUCAAAUCAGAUUGUGAAAUAAUAAGUUACUCUAACACUGUAUUGUGAAAUCAUAAUGCAAACUUACUAAGUCUUAAACUUUUCAACAACCGGAUGAUGUAGGUUGAUGAGCAGCCUCGAACCUGACCAAUUGUUACAUCUAUUUGCGUUGUCAUUGACUACAAAAUAGAAGCAAAGAAUUCAAGGUAAAUAAAUGGUAAAUGAUAAAGCUACAAAGUAUUUUACCCAUAAUGUUACAUCAACUAUAUUCCCAAUGCUCUAAAUCUCUAUAUCGAGUUAUUACAUGAACUCGAUCACCCUAAAUCCGAGAAAGAAACCAAAAAAUAUAAAUAAAUCAAAAUGUAUACUAAUAAGUAACAUUGAUAAAUCAUAAAAGAAAUUACUACAAAUCUUAACUAACUUAUCUAACCUUUGCAUCACAAAUAAUGAGCUUCAUAUGUUGAUUCUCAUUACUACCAGUCACAAUUCAAGAAUCCAGUACUCCAAAUCCUAUUUUCCAAACGUCUAAAUCAUUUUUGAGAUACUUAAUGUAGUCAUAAUCCCUUGACAUUGAAAUUCAUAUAUAGAAAUACAAUAAUACAUCAUUUAAUUUUAUUCCCUUUGUUCAUUCUGAUAUCGAAAGAAGCUAACAUAUUUCUAUGUGAUCAAUUUUUGUAUCAUCAAAUUAACCUGAUCUUAAAUGUACAAAUUUCUAUCAUCAACUUUCUGGACCCCAAUGAUAUGAUCAAAACAAAUUUACACCAAUCAACUUUUUGCACGGCUCAAUGAUAUACGAAAGAAUAAAUAAAAUAUGAAAACUGUUACAGCUUUAGGAUUACUCACAAAAACUAAAAUAAUUGAAAUGCAUCAAUUAUUUUCAACUCCUGUACCAGAAGCUAAAAUAACAAUUGUGUCAAAACCUUACCAUCAGUUAAAAUUCAGUCAUCAUGACCUCUACUAUACUCCACAUAACAAAAGACGAUUUUUCUACAGCCAUGCAACAUAACAAAUUUUGGUACAUAAUCCAAUAACAAUUGGAAAAAAAAAAAAAAAACCCUUAAAAUGCAUAAUCAUGAAAAAAGGAAGAAAACCAUCUAUGAUGAAGCAAAAACUAAAACGGUGUCGAAAAAUGAAGCCCUUAAGCCAUAAAAAUCAGUCAACUCAAGUCAUGCAUGGUCUCAGAACCAUGAAAAAAGAUAGAAAAUGACCUUUUUUUUUUUUGUGGUGGCCGGGGUUUGAACUCCGGACCUUGCAUAUUUUAUGCAUUGUCCUACCAACUAAGCUAAGCUCACGAGGACGAAGAAAAUGACCUCUUAUGAAGAAGAAAGUGAAACAGUGUUCCCGACUGAACUUAGAUACCGUUUGGUCAAGGUUUUUUACAUUAUAAAAGUUACUUCAAAACAAAGUAAAAAUAAAGGCCUUUAUGAAAGAAACUAAAGUUAUUUGGUUUUUUUGUUUUGUUAGUUUUAAAGCUAUUUAAGUUUAAUGUUGUUUGGCAAAAUAUUGUACAAACUUUGAAUUUAUUAUUUUUUAUAUGGUGUCUGGGGUUCGAACUCCGGACUUGGCAUGUAUUUAUGCAUUGUUCCUAUCAACUGAGCUAAACUCAUGAGGACAAAACUUUGAAUUUAUUAUUAAUUAACAUAAUAAAUAAAUAAAAUGUUUAGAAUAAUUUAUGAAGGCUAAAAAUGUUAAAAAAAUAAAAGAUAUUUUUUUUACAAAUACGAUAUUUACUCAAUAACGUUUAUUUUGUGUAACAUGAAUACAAAUUAAUAUCAUCAUAUAAAUAACUUGUUAAAUAUUUGAAUAGGAGAAACAAUUUAAGGAGUCUGGAAUAAUAAUAUAAAUAAUAUCAAAAUAUUUGAUUUUUUCUAUUUCAAUUAUACUCUAUAACAAAUUUCGUUAUAAGAAUACCAUAUUUUUUGUGUCUUUCAAAAAGAUAAGAAUUUAUAUUAUAUGAUAUUAUAUUUGUUACAUUGUUGGUGUCAUGGAAACAGAUAUGUUUAAUUUUUUUGAACAUGAAAAUGAUAUGCAUAGUUUGUUACGAUAUAAAGGUGCAAUAUAUAUAUAUAUAUACACCUUUUUAGGCAUCUAUACCUUUUUUUGAAGAAAAGACAUCUACAAUUUUACUUUUAAUUAAAAUUUAAAUUUUAUAAAAAUAAUCAUACGCAUUAUGCAACGCUAAAAAAAAUUAUACACAUUAGCGUAACAAAAAAACAGACACACAUAAAGAAUUACUCUAAACGCUAAUGUGUAUGUGCGUAUAUAUUUGCGAGGUUGAAGAAAGAAAAUACAAAUAUUUGAUAUCAUUAAAUGACAGCGUGAAUAAAAAUAUUUGUGAAGUUGUGAUGAUUAAACGAUAUUGAAAUUAUAAGUGAUAAAAAGAUAAUAAAAUUCCUUUGAAAAAAAGGUAAUAAAAUUAAAUGGAACCUCCUUAAAAAAAAUUAAAUUGAACGCUUCAAAUUAAAUGGAAGAAAAAAAUAUAUUGAAGUAUAAUAUUAAAAAAUAAAAAAAAAGGUUCCCAACGUGAAUUGAAGAGAGAUGCUUGUGAAAUAAAUUGUCGAGAAGUAGUUUUUUGAAGAAGCAUUCAACAACUUUUGGUCAAAGUUCAUUGCAUUCAAUUUUAUGCAUUAAAAAAGGUACAUUUUUUAGAAAGUACUUAAUUGAUAUUGUAUUUGACCUAACUUCUCCUUAAAAAUAUAGGGAAGUUGAAAAAAAAAACCGGGUCAAACGGUAUCUUAAUUUCCCACAACGGCAGUGUAGAAACAACUGAAUUUGGGAGAAAAAAAUUGGAAAAUAGUUAAAAAUAAAAAAAAUUGAAAAAUAGUUAAAAAAAAUCGGUGAGGUAGCACCUAACCAAACAACACUAAAAAAAAUUAUAUGCAUCAGCGUAACAAAAAAACAGACAGACGGACAUAAAAUAUUACUCUAAACGUUAAUGUGUGUGUAUAUAUUCGCGAGGUUGAAGAAAGGAAAUAAAAAUAUUUGGUAUCAUUAAAUGACAGCGUGAAUAAAAAUAUUUGUGAGGUUGUGAUGAUUAAACAAUAUUGAAAUUAAAAUAAUUAAUAUUGUGUUUGACCCAACUUCUCCUUAAAAAUUUAGAGAAGUUGGAAAAAAGUCGGGUCAAGCGAUACCUUAAUCUCCCACAACGGUAAUGUAGAAGCCACUGAAUUUGGGAGAAAAAAUUGGAAAAUAGUUAAAACUAAAAAAUAAAAAAAUCGGUGAGGUAGCACCCAACCAAGCAACACCAAAAAAAAAUUAUAUGCAUUAUCGUAACAAAAAAAUAGACAAACAGACAUAUAAUAUUACUCGAAACAUUAAUGUGUGUGUAUAUUCGCGAGGUUGAAGAAAGGAAAUAAAAAUAUUUGAUAUCAUUAAAUGACAACGUGAAUAAAUAUAUCUGUGAGGUUGUGAUGAUUAAAUAAUAUUUAAAUUAAAAUAAUUGAUAUUGUGUUUGACCUAACUUCUCCUUAAAAAUGUAGAGAAUUUGGAAAAAAGCCGGGUCAAACGAUACCUUAGUCUCCCACAACGGCAAUGUAGAAGCAACUGAAUUUGGGAGAAAAAAUUGAAAAAUAGUUAAAAACAUAAAAAUUGGAAAAUAGUUAAAAGUUAUUAAAAAUUAGAAAAUAAUUUAAAAAAUUGGUGAGGGGCAAAAUGGGAAAUUUGGCAUAAAAAAGAUGAGGUGGCACCAAACCAAACCCACCAAUUAGAAAAUUACUUAAAUGCCCAUUCCAGGGACAAAAUGGGAAUUUCAUAUGGCAUCAAUUUUAAUAGAGUAUAUAGACCACUCACAUUACACAAAUGUUGAAAUAUAUGAUGCAUAUUACUUUUUAAAUUUUUGGUUUAUAGUUGCAUUUUUUUUAGGGUUAAUAGUGUUUUUCACCCUUGUAAUAUAUGUCAUUUUCGGUUUUCGACCCUAUAAAAUUUUUAGUUUUAUUUUAACCCUCGUAAAAUUUUUAUUUUCCGGAAAAGACCCUUAAUAGGCCAUUCAAAAACCAAAAUUUCUUGAAAAAAAUUCUGAAAAUGGCCUAUUAGGGGUCUUUUCCGGAAAAUAAAAAUUAUACGAGGGACCACCUGUUGAGAAACCACCUGUACACAAGCCACCAGUUGAGAAGCUACCUGUUUACAAGCCACCUGUAGAGAAACCUCCGGUGUACAAGCCACCUGUUGAGAAGCCCCCAGUUUACAAACCUCCAGUAGAGAAGCCUCUAGUGCACAAGCCACCAGUUGAUAAACCACCUGUACACAAGCCACCAGUUGAGAAGCUACCUGUUUACAAGCCACCUGUAGAGAAACCUCCGGUGUACAAGCCACCAGUUGAGAAGCCCCCAGUUCACAAACCUCCAGUAGAGAAGCCUCCAGUUCACAAACCUCAAGUGGAGAAGCCACCUGUAUACAAGCCACCAGUUGAGAAGUUUCCAAUUUACAAACCUCUAGUAGAGAAGCCUCCAGUGCACAAGCCACGAGUUGAGAAACCACCUGUACACAAGCCACCAGUUGAGAAGCUACCUUUUUACAAGCCACCUGCAAAGAAACCUCCGGUGUACAAGCCACCAGUUGAGAAGUCCCCAGUUUACAAACCUCCGUUAGAGAAGCCUCCAGUGCACAAGCCACCGGUUGAGAAACCACCUGUAUACAAGCCACCAAUUGAGAAGCCCCCAGUUCACAAGC
rnacentral:lncRNA from 1 species